UUUUGUAAAUGAAGCUUUUGAAGCUAGAGUUCUGUAAAUGAAGUUUUCAAAGUUAGAACUCUGUAAAUGAAGCUUUUGAAGCUAGAUUGACAUGAGUGAUGCUCAUGAAUGUUUAUGUUGAUUGACAUGAGUGAUGCUCAUGGAUGUUGACAUGAGGGAUGCUCAUGAAUGUUAACAUGAGUGAUGCUCAUAAAUGUUGACAUGAAUGAUGGUCAUGAAUGUUUAUGUAUGAUUGACAUGAGUGAUGCUCAUGAAUGUUUAUGUAUGAUUGACAUGAGUAAUGCUCAUGUAUAAUUUUGAAGUACUGGACGUACUUUUGAUCACCUGGUUGGUGAUAAUAGCAGCAGGGUGCCGAAUAAUUUUGGAGUACUGGACGUACUUUUAAUCACCUGGUUUGUGAUAAUUGCGGUAGGGUGCCAAUUAAAUUUGGAGUACUGGGCGUACUUUUGAUCACCUGGUUAGUGAUAAUAGUGGCAGGCUGCAGAAUAAUUUUGGAAUACUGGACGUACUUUUGAUCACCUGGUUGGUGGUAAUAGCGGCAGACUGCCGAAUAAAUUUUUGUAGUACUGAACGUACUUUUGAUCACCUGGUUUGUGGUAAUAGAGGGCAUGGCUCUUUUGGGCAUAUGAGCCUUCACCCUUCACACAACAUUCCAGCCCAUUAUUUUGGGCUUGCCGUUUUUUUUUAUAUUUUUUAUUACCCUCUGAUAGGGUUUAUACAGAUGUUUUCGAAAGAUAAGAAAAAUAAUUAUAUGUUUUCCGUAUGUUGAUGGGCAUCUUCUAGUCUAACAAAGUGGAGACGGGAAACCUUGGUGGGUAUCUUCUUAUUUUUUAUCAUGUUAUCCCGUGGGAUAGUAGAGUAGUGGAAUAGUGGAGCAUCUUCUUUUCGGCUUUUCCUUUUUUGCUUUCUUUUGCUUUUACUUUCUCUUUUCUGCUUUUGUUUCUCAUGUGCUCCCGAGGAGAGCCUCCCUUUUUCUUUUUCUUUUGCUUUUGUUUCUCGCAACUCACUUGAUUGCUUUUGCCUUUCUUCUACAUCUUUUCUGCUUUGCUUUUGUUUUCCCAUGUGCUCUCACAGAGAAAUUGAAGAGAGAGAGAGAGAGAUAGAGAGAGAACAGAUCUGCAGUGGUUUCUCUCUAAGAAUCGAACCAGGCCCCUUUUUAAUCCUCCUGCCUGAUUUGUAUUAAGAAAUGAAUAAGCUUCACUUUUCCAGAGAAAGGAAUAAGCUUCAAUUUAUAUGGUCUUCGUGGGCAACGUGAUGAGAGGCGGUAAUUUGAAGAGAAGGGAAAAAGCUUCACUUCCAAAUCUCCCAUUUGUAUCAAAUAUGUCGAUCCAAUUUUAGGGUUUCAAAAUUCGUUCUCUCUCUCUGCGAUUCGAUUUAUGGGGUUUCUGAUUUCUCUCUGUGAUUAAUCAUGGCGACCAACAACAAGGAGAGCAAUGUUCAGGAGGAAUUGAGCCCUCUUCUGAGCAAGCAAUUCGAGGAGAACCAGAAGGAUGCUGAGAAGCCUGCCAAGGCCUCGCAGAAGAAAUCGCUGAUGGAUGUGGGGCAUGUGAAUGGAGGUGGUAAUGGGUGAAAGCAUAUCAAUGGUGUCUAGGAAUAUAGUAAAUGAGUACCUGGCCUAAGGUAAUUGGGAGUAGCCUUCCGGUGGGAGGUCCAUGACGGCUCCCACCUAAAGUACGAGAAGAAAAUGCACUGUUAUAUAUCAAUUUCCAUCUCCCUUGCAGUUUAUCAAGAUCAGUUGAGAGAUCCACUGGACCUCCAGCAGCUUUAAUCUCCUUGGCAGCAGCUUCUGUCUUUUGUAGAUCCUCUCCCGAUGUUGCAAGACCUCUAUUUAGCCCAGAAACAGCACUCAAUAGGUUGAGCUUUAAAGACACUACAAGUUCAAGGUUAGGCGUGGUUUUGCUUCUGGAAGAUGGCGACUAUGGUGGCGGCGGUUCGAGAACAGAACCUCGUCCACAGUUGCUCUCAGAGCAAAGCUUUUGGUGUGACGGCGAUUUGACAAAACAAAACAGAGGCGUUUUGGGCAGGGUGGUUUGCUUGGAAUAACAUAGUUUGCAGAAGAAGUAGAAGGUGAUGGAGAGAGCUCAGAGAAGCCAUGGCCACAGUCGGAUUUACGAUAUUGGUUAUGUGGUUAAGCCAUGUUCUGAAAAGCAUAAUGCUGACCAUGUUGCUGCCUCUCUGAAGCAGAAAUGCGCUCUCCUGACCUUGUGGCCCCACUAGGAGCCCAUUCCUUGGAUGGAAUAAGGGCACCCAUUUUUUGAGGAUCCAUGGACCUGACAUGUCUUGGGGCUGGAAAGGCUGCUGCAUGUGAUUCAUUUGAGUUUUGUAGGAGAAAAAAAGAGAGGGUAGCUUGUUUUUGGUUCUUGGUUUCUGCAGAUUCACGGUGGAGGUGAAAAAAUGAAAGAGAACCGACAUAACUUUUCAUGUCGAUUCCCACAGAUGGCGCCAAAUGUUGAUGCACAAAACCAGAGGUCUUGGAACAACGUAAAUCCUACUGUGAAUCUGCAAGAAAGUAAAUAACACAAGAUGUAUCGUGGUUCACCCUAACAUUUGGGCUACGUCCACACGGAUAUUGUAUUUCUGAGAGGAUUGUGAGGGAGAGAGUGUGAGGAUCCUCAUGGCCUAGGAAUUGGCCUCCCUUAUCUUUUAUAAAAUAAGGGGUCUUCACUUAUUACAUAUUUGACUCUUCUUUUAUUACAUAAUUACAUUUGAGUCCUCCAAGUAUUUAUACGAGAUCUAAAUACAGAUGCCCUAAGUAUGAUACAAACAAGGGUAAAGUACAAAAAACUACCUCAACUAUUAAUAUCACGAUACUUUCAUACCUCAUCUUUUAAAAUUGACAAUGUCAUACUUUAUCUUUAGAAUUUGGUCCAAUGUUAUAUUUUAUGUUACUUGGUCGUUUACUUUUCAAUAAAAUGCUAACGUGACUUGAUUCGGAGCCCAUUUUCUAUUAAAAAAUCAUUAAAAUAUUAUUAAAAACUAAAAAAAAUUAUUUAAUAUUUUUUAAAUAUUAAAAUAAUAAAAAAGUAAAAAAAAAAAAAAGAAAAGAAAACAACCCUAAGUUCGUCCCUCCCCCUUCCCCCUCCUCUCUUCUCCCCAUCUUCAUCUUCUUCCCCUCACCUGCAACCCCCAACAAAAAAAAAAAAAAAAAAAAAGAAAGAAAACAACCCUAAGUUCGUCCCUCCCCCUCCCUUCUCUUCUCCCCAUCUUCAUCUUCAUCUUCAUCUUCUUCCCCCCCUAAAAAAAAAACUCAGAUCUCGUCAGCGGGAAGAUGGGUGUGGAGAAGGUGAAGGAUGGGUGCGGAAUAUGAUGUGGAGAAUGGAUGAGAGUGGUGGAUUUGGGGUUAGGGUUGGGUUUAGGGGGGGGACGAACUGGGUUGGGUUGGGGGUUUUUUUUUUCGUUUCUUCUUCAUCUUCUUCCUCCUUCUUUCUAGGUUGCUGGGGGUUGGGGGGGCGAACUGGGUUGGGUUGGAAUAUUUUUUUUGCCCUUUUCUUCUUCUUCCUCCUUCUCCUUCUUCUUCCUCCUUCUCCUUCUUCUUCUUCUUCUUCGGGGGAGGGGGGUUGAUGGGUUUUCAAAUUUAUUUAUUUUUGGUUGAAGAUUAAGCAAGGAAGAAGAUGAAGAUGGGGAGAGAGAGGAGGCAAGGGACGAACAGAGGGAUUUUUAUUUUUUAUUUUUUACUUUUCUUUAUUAUUAAAAAAUAUUAAAUAAAUUUUUUUUAGUUUUUAAUAAUUUUUUAUUAAAAAAUGGGCUCCGAAUCAAGUCACGUCAGCAUUUAAUUGAAAAAUUAAAUGGCCAAGUAACAGAAGAUAUAACAUUGGACCAAAUUCUAAAGAUGAGGUAUGACAUUGUCAAUUUUAAAAGAUGAGGUAUGAAAGUGUCGUGACACCAAUUGAGGUAGUUUUUUGUACUUUACCCAAAAAAAUAAAUAAUUAAAGUAACUCCUUAUUAGACCAUCUCCAAUGGUGGGCUAAAUACUAAAUUAGCCCCCAAAUUCCCCCCCCCCCAAACAAUCUCCAACCCAUGCUAAAACAUUAGGCUAAAUGCCAAAUGUUAAAGUGGGCCAAAUACCCCCCAAAAUUUCCCCCAUGCGACUGGACUCGCUGGUAAUUGAGCCAUUCUCAGCCCGAUCACGCUCCAACGCGUCCCAUGCGGUGCGCUUGCAAACCUUUCCUGACAGGGGUGUGCCCCUCUGUCAGCCGUUUGUCUACCACCCAAAAAUCCCAACAGCUAUAAUUUGAAUCCAAAGGCUUGGUUUAACAGACCGUUGGUUGAUCCAACGGUCCAGAUUCAAAUUUAAUUUCUUUAAAUAUGUUAUUUUAAAAUACAUUGAAUUCAACGACUGAGUUCGAAUAUAAUCAAAUCUAACGGUAAAAAAAUAAGAUCUAACGGCCCAAAUUUAAAUCUAACGGCUAAAAUAAUUUAAAAAAAUUAUUUAACUCAAAAUUCACCCAAAAACUCUAUAAAUACCUAUGUAUUUGGUUAAACAUCCUCACAAAACUCAAUUUUCUCCCACAAUUCUUCCAAUUUAUCUUUUUACCAUUUCUUUCCAUUUCCAAAUUAUUCAACAUGACAAGAGAGCAUAUUAGAGGUCGUAAUUGGACCUGUGAGGAAGAUGUUGUUUUAUGCUUGGCAUGGUUUUCUGUUAGCGAAGAUGGUGGAGUUGGCACAAAUCAAAAUAAGAAGGUUUUGUGUGAUAAAAUCAUUGCAAAGUUUCAAGAAAACUGCAAUGGUGGCGGGCAUGAUGGUGGUGGUGUUUAUGAUCGAUGAAAGACUAUCAACAAAGCAUGUACUUUAUGGAAUGGAAGCUUGGAGAAAGCCGUGGUUAACAUGGCUAGUGGAAGGAAGGCCACAGAAAUUGUGAGUUUUGUUCUUAAUAUUUUAUUUGUCAUGUACAUAAUAUUAUUUUCCAACUAAGUAUUUUUAUGUAUUUUUUGCAUAAGGUGACAAAGCAAUGAGAAUUUAUAAGACAAGAGGAACACCAAAAAAUCAAGUUUUUAAGUUGCAACAUGCUUGGACGUCCUCAAGGAUUGUCUGAGGUGGAGAACCGAUGCAGACCAACAAUGGGGAAGAUUAUUUCAAUGUGAAGCCGCACAAACAAAUGCCAAAGAUGAAGGUGUCGAUGAAAUGACCCCAUCUCCUUCUUUUGCAAGGCCCCCGAGAAGAGAUAAGCAAAAGGAAGCAAAGAGAAAAGGGAAGUCCCAAGAUCCGAUGAGUGGACACUUUGGUACUAGAAUUGCAAAAUUGAACGAAAUCCAUAGCGCUUAUCAAGAAGAAACGGCCCGAAUGCGUUUGCAAAUGAAGGAAAUCUCAGAUAAGAAGCAAGAUAGGUUUGAAAUUGAAUUCAUGAUGGAGGACCUCAGCAAAUACACUCCAAAGAGGAAGUUCUUACGUGGUAAACAAAAUGAAAUUUUGCAAAAAUCUGCCUCAAGGAGUAUGUUUCAAGAUGAUGAAUCCUCUGAAUCCUACAUCCCAAGAUUUCAACGAAGUCCAUCACCAAGUGAAGAUGGUGGAUAUGAUUAUUAAGUUUAUGUAGAGUAUGAAUUAUGUGCUUUAUUAAUUGAGUUUAUUAAUUGUUGAUUGUAUUAAGUUGAUGUAGUUUAUUAAUUAUGUGGUUUAUGAAUUAUCGGUUGUAUUAAGUUUAUGUGGUCUAUGUAUUAUCAGUUGUAUUGUUUCUAUUAAUUUAGAUGUCUUCAAUAAUUAUUGUACUUAUUAUUCCACACUUUGAUGUAGAAUAGAUGCCUUCAAUAAUUCAACGUACUAGACAAAAUAUUUUGCACAAGAAGACACUUCAAUUUAUUACUAGAAAAUAACAACACAGUACACUUAAAAUUAAUCUAGAUGCCUUCAAUAAUUAUUGUAUUUAUUAUUCCACACUCUUCUAUAUCACGCUACAAAUAUGAACGUCCUGUGACAGAACCACGAUGGCUAGAUUCGCCAUGGUGAUCAGAUUGCAUAAACGAGUUGACAAGUUCAACUUUGGCGUUGAACAAUUCUGCAUCCUCAGUCUCGAUCCUUGCUUGGUAUUGUGCCAUCUGCAUUGUCAUGCUACGUAUUCUUCUAUCAUCCAUUGAUGAGAUAUUGAGGAUUUUUAGGAAAUAAAAACUCUUUGAAAGUUGAAAGAUUGGUGAAUAUAGAGGAUGAUUGAAGGUUGAAAUGUUGUGUGAUCAACAAAUAUUGGAUAUAUGUUUAUAUAGAGGAUGAUUGAUGAAAGUGAUGCGAAAUAUAUAAGCACACAAAUUUAACCCUCUUUUUGACAAUUGUAGUAUAGAUGUAAGUAGGGAUCGUUCUAAACCGGGGAUUAGGAGGGAUUGCUAAAUCACUUGAAAACUAAUUUAAAAACAUAAAAACAAAGUUAAAAAUGUAAACAAAAGAUUUUAAAACAAGAAAGUAAAAGGGGGAUUUGAGUUUGGUGAAGUUGAAAGUAAAAACGAAUAAACUAAAAACUUAAAUAGAUUUUAAACAAAUUUGGGUUGAAUGGAUAAUGGAAGGCUAGCUAAGGGGUUCUUCUCCACACAUGUCUUGCUUGCAUACAAAAUGAUUUCCAAUUGCAUUUCAAUAACUUAUUAAUUCUCAACGCCCCAAAUUAACCGUGAAUUGCACUAAUUAACCCUCAGUUUUUCCACAAGUUAUUGGGUUGGAUGAUUGCAUACGACAACCCAAAACAUUCCCUACAAGUUCCCUACAUGAAUUGCAUAAUAGAGAUACAAGCAAGAAUCAUUAAGUUCUAUGAAAAACAUAAGCAUUGACGAGGCACUCGUUACUAUGAUUUGCAUGAAACUUAUGCCAAGGAUUUACUUAACACAAUCGUGACUAGCGACUUUUACUACUCCUGAAUAUAAGUUCAUAACGAUUAGGUGAAAUUCCCUUAUACUCUAGCAUCAUAUUUAUGCAUGCAAACUAAGUAUGCAUCCCUAAUCAACAUACAUAAACAUGUUAUCAAUCAAAUAGAUAAGUAAAUCGAAUUCAUAACUUAUGAAACGCAAUUAAAAGUAAUCAAAUCAUAUUGCAAGCAUUAACAUAGUUUCGAAUCCCCCCCUAGCCAAGGGGGGUUUAGUUCCUCAUUAUUACAAAACAAAGAUAAACAAAUUUAAACAUUGAAAAACAAAGGAAAAGAAAGCACACCUAAACGUUCCAACGAUCCAUGUUGGAUAGCAAGUGCGUCUAAGGACUUUUCUCCUUCUCUUUGCCGCAACAACGAGGUUGGAAUGAUGUUGAAGGGUUGGUUAUUUGGAGGAAUGGAUGGGAAGGGGUUUAGAUAUGUAGGAGAGGCAAGGAAAGGCUUGGAGAAUGGUUAAUUUCUGGAUGAUUUGAAUGAGGUUGAUGCCAUGGUAUUUAUAGGAAGAGGAUGGACUUGUUUAACACAAAAUGUUGGUGGAAUUGAGUAGGUGAGCAUGGCAAAGAGUGGGAAUUGUUGGUGGGUUAGGUAUUGAGUCAUCCACUCACAUGUCAUGGUUAGCUAAGCAUUGCAUCAUCCACUCACAUGUCAUGGUGAGCUAAGCAUUGCAUCAUCCACUCACAUGUCAUGGUGAGUUAAGCAUUGCAUCAUCACUAAAAAAAUCUGGUGGAAGUAAAACAAAGGGAAGGCCACGGCAUUGAUGAAUUUUAUGGGGUAUGCAUGGUUUUGAGUGAAGUUUUGGCCAAUCCUUUUAGAAAUUUAUCCCUUCUUGCAACUUGUAUUUGUUUCACCAGAUUUUUAGCAUGUUCUUAGCCUCUUUUGUCUUCAAAUUCGUCCAUCCAUCUUGCUCAUAUCAUAUGUAAUCCAUUACAAGCUCAAAACUGCUCCAAAAUGCACCAAAAUGCACUUUCUUGCUACCUUAGCCCUUUGGACCUACAAACACACGAAAAUGGCUUAAAGUACUAAAAUAACUAAGAACUAAUAAUGUAAAUGCAAGAAAACUAGUUAACUAAGUCGCAUAAAUAUGCGUCUAUCAGAAAGUUGAAUGUUUGGUGAAAGUUGAAAGUUUGGUGUUGAACGGUUGGUGAAUUGAAAGUUAGCCCAUGAUUGAAAGAUUGGUGAAAGUUGAAGGCUUGCUUUGUGAAAAAUUUAGUGAUUUUUCAAUAUUUAUCGCAAUUUAAAUUUUUUUAAAUUAAAAUGUUCAUAAAAUUAAUUUACGAUAGUUUAUAUAUUUAUUUUUAAAAAAUUAAUUUAAGAAAAAAAUCGCCUAAGUUUAUUCUUUAAUAAUCCCGGACUAAAAUUUUAGGCCAUAACAGUUGGAGUAGGAAAACUGUUUCUGAGCUAAAAUAUUUGGCUUUUAGCCCAACCAUUGGAGAUAGUCUUAUUAGGACAAAAAGUAAUAAAACUUAUGUUUUGAAAACAAAUGUACCAAAAAUUCAAGGAAACUUUAAUAAAAAACUCCCGGUACUGUUUACUUUAACGAAAAACCAUAUUUUUACACUAAAAAAUCAAUUCUGGUACUAUUCACUUUAUCUUUUAUUUUGUCCUUAUCGUUAAAACUCAAAUUUUUCAAGUCAAUUUAAUUAAUUUUCCUAAAAUUCAAAUGUACCAAAAAGCCAAAUGAACCAAAAAUUCAAAUGUACAAAGUAACCAAAUGUACCAUUAUAAUUAAACAUACCAAUAUAACCAAACACACCUAUCAACGAGUUUUGUUACAUUCUAUUUAAUUUACUAAAAUAACUAUUUUAAUAAAAAAUAAAAAAAAUCUUAAAUCAUCAUAAUUAGAGAUACAUAAAAAUUGGAAGAAAAAAGAAAAUGAUAUCGUGAAUAGACUUUUAAUGAAAUAAAAUUAAGGGUAAAUUACAAAAAAGUACCUCAAUUGUUGGUGUCAUGACACUUUCAUACCUCAUCUUUUAAAAUUGACAAUGUCAUACCUCAUCUUACGAAUUUGUGCCAAUGUUAUACCUCCCGUUAGGGUUGGCGUGAAUUUCUCAAUUAAAUGCUGACGUGGCUUGAUCCGAGACCAAUUUUCUAUUAAAAAUUAAUAAAAUAUUUUUAAAAACUAAAAAAAAAAUUUAAUAUUUUUUAAAUAUUAAAAUUAAAAAAAAAACCAACACUCAGUCAGUUCGUCCCCUCCCCCCUUCUCUCUUUUCUCCCCAUCAUCAUCUUCUUCCCUCUUCCUGCAACUGCAACCCAGAAAAAAGAAGAGAAAAAAAAAAAACCAGUUUGUCUUCCCCCCUCCCCACCCCCUCUUCUCCCCGCACCCAACCUCCCCAUCUUCGCACCCAACCUCGCACCCAUUACCUGCAACCCAAAAAAAAAAAAAAAACCCACAUCCUGUUGAGGUGGAAUCAUGAAACAUUCGCCAGGCCGAUUUUGAAGGUUGAGAACCUGGGCGCGGAGAAAAUAGGGAGGAUGGGUGUGGAGGAAAGAGGGUGGGUGCGCGGCGAGGGGGGGGCAGACGAACUGGGUUUCCUUUUUAUUUAUUCUCUCUCUUCCUGGGUUUGUUUGGGGGGGGGACCUAGGUUGGGUUGGGUUUUUUUUUUCCUUCUUCUUCCUCCUUUUCUUCUUCUUCUUCUUCUUCUUCUUCUUUCUGGGUUUGUUGGGGGGGGGGGACUGGGUUGGGUUGGGUUUUUUUUUUCUUUCUUCUUCCUCCUUUUCUUCUUCUUCUUCUUCUUCUUCUUCUUCUUCUUCUUCUUUCUGGGUUUGUUGGGGGGGGGGGACUAGGUUGGGUUGGGUUUUUUUUUUUCUUCUUCUUCUACUUCCUCCUCAUUUUUCCUCAUUUUUUCUGGGUAGCAAGGGGUUGGGUUUGUGAUGGGGGGAAGGGGAUGAACUGGGUUUGGUUUGGGAUUUAUUUUUUCAUUCUUCUUCUUCUUCUGCUUUCUGGGUUUGUUAUGGGGGGAGCCUGAGUUGGGUUGAGGUUUUUUUUUUUUUAUUGUCAAUCCUUCUUCUUCUUCUUUCUGGGUUGCAGGACGAGAGAGAGAGAGAUAGAGAGAGAGAGGGUGGGGAAGAAUGAACUGACCUGAGGAUUUUUUUUUUUUACUUUUUUUAUUAUUUUAAUAUUUAAAAAAUAUUAAAUAUAUUUUUUUAGUUUUUAAUAAUUUUUUAAUAGAAAAUGAGUCAUGAAUUAAGCCACGUUAGCAUUUAACUGAAAAAUUUACGACCAAAUAACGGAAGGUAUAACAUUAAUACAAAUUCGUAAGAUGACGUAUGACUUUGUCAAUUUUAAAAGAUAAGGCAUGAAAAUGUCAUCACAACACUAGUUAAGGUAAUAUUUUGUAAUUUAUCCUAAAAUUAAGUAACAAAAUUGUAGAAAAAAUGUUUAAUCAAAUUUGCAAAAGGAAUAGACGUUUAGUUUAUAACAUUUAAAAAGUUUUGCCCAUGCUUCUCAUGCUUUCUCGUGGCUCUAAUGGCUCUAAUGGCUCUAAUUCAAUGGUUUCUCAUGCUUCUCAGCCUCCCGUGCACUUUGUUGCUGAUGUUACUCACUCUACUCCUAACGGCGAUGCCCGAAAGGCAUGCAAAAAUCUCUUGUCACUUGGAACAACGCAACAAGCCAAAGUGCGAGAUUUCCCCUACCACAUCGGAUGUUCAUGUAAACAUGCUACAAAUCCUAGUUUGCAGCAAUAUCAUUAGUCCACCACCCAUAAGAUGGAAGGGCAGAUUCCAAAGCUCUGGUAGUUUUACUUGCGACAAGUAAAAUCAUUGGGGCACAGUAUUACCGUGCUAAUGGUGUUUAUACCAUAUUUAGGGCCUCGUAUUUAGAUCUCGUACAAAUACUCAGGGGACUUAAAUGUAAUUAUGGGAUAAAGGAAUGGGCAAAUAUGUAAUAAGUGAGGAGUCCUUAUUCUAUAAAAGGACCCCUCACCCUCACAAUUGGGAGAGGCUCAUUCUCACCCUCAGAGGCCAUUUCUGAAGCCUCUCACCCCCUCUCAAAGCUCCUCACAUCCCCUAAGCUCUCUCUCCCUCUUCAACAGAGAAAUAUAAUACAAUCAGUGUGGACGUAGCCCAAACCUUGGGGUGAACCACGAUACAUCUUGUGUCAUUUACAUUUCUUGCAGAUUUACGAUUGGAUUUACGUUGUUCCAAGACCCCCGGUUUUGUGCAUCAACAUUUGGCGCCGUCUGUGGGAAUCGAUACGAAAAGUUAUGUCGGUUCUUUUUCAUUUUUUCAUCUCCAUCGUAAAUCUGCAAAAAUUUGCAAAAAACCCAGUAACAAAAAAGAUCCAGAUCUCAAAAUCACUCAUCUCUCUCUCUGGAAAACUCUGCAGUCUUAAGAAACCAUCCAAAAACCAAAAUCCCAAAUAAAUCUUGUCGCACCAGUGGUUUUCUCGGAGACUUCGCCAAAGAACAAGCCGCUUGAAUUCUCCAACAAGAUAGAAAUUGCAGUGUCCCAAUGACUACAAAAUGAGCGACCACAAGGUCGCAGCAGCACCACCUGCACCUGAUCACCCACUACCAUCAUUCGGAAGACUAAGCUCCACACCCUAAAGUCGAUCUCAACGAAGUCGCUCCACCUCCCCACUCUGAAACUCGGACCUCCACCUCCCUUCAACACACUUUGUCAGUCUCUCUCUAUCUCUCUGUAAGUGUACCCAUCAAAGCUCCCACUUCGAUCGAUUCAGCAUCGAUGAUUUCGAGGUAGAAGAUGAGGUCCGACCCGACUUCCCGUGCCCGUAUUCCUAUGAGGACUUCGACAUCGCGUCCUUGUGCUUCCAUCUCGAAGACGAGCCCUCCUGCGAAUCCACAACCACCUACUGCUCAGCCUUAUCUAAAAAAAAUAGUGGGUUUCAAUGGUAGGUUUCUGGGUUCUUGCAGAUCUGAUUUCAGGCAACAACAGGAGGCUCGGCUUCAGACAACAAUUUCUGGUAUUUAUACCAUCUAAGAAAAGCAGAUCUCACGAGUUUCGAUGGUGGUUGUAGAGGGAAGCAAUGGGUUAAAUGUUCAAGCUGCAGCGGCGGGUUCGAUCUCUAGGACAGCUUCGGUCGGUGAGGGGUUGAUAGAUCAAUUUCGAUGCGGGUGGUAGUUUGACAAUAGGUUGUUGCGCGGUGCAUGAAUACAAUGCAGCAGGCGUGCGACACAAAACGAGUACGAGUCAUUGUCGAAGUUCGAACAGCUACUUCGGCACUGAUUUCAGAUUGAAUCUUCUAGUACACGGUUAAUUAGUCAGUGUAUGUUGUUCUUGUUUUAGAUUUUUAGAGAGAGAAAAUUAUGGGAUCUGGAAAUGGGGUUUAUUUAGUUGGGGAUUUCGAUUUGGAUGCCUUGUGGUUAAUAGAGAAGAAAAUGUAUGAACUCUGUUGAACGCGUCUCGCCGAUCAGACAACAGGCAAAGGUUGAGGUUUGGUUGAUGUUGCUGGAGAUAAUAAGCACAAGGAGAACAAGCAAGAUUGUGGUUUGGAGCCAUUGAUAUUGAAAGGGGAAGAAGAUGAGAGAGCAUCGCCAUGCACUACCGUUAUCAGAGGACCCAGUUCCCGCCCCAUGGCCCCACCAAUUCCACUCCAUCUUGGUGAUGAACUACACUGGAACCCUCUAGCUCAUUGACCUCUAAGCAGAAAGAAGAUGCAAGAAACAGAGAACUUGAGUGCCAUCUGCACUCUGCAAAGUAAAAGCAAAAGCUAAAAGAGAAAGAUUAUACUUUUGCUUUUGUCGACGGAUGCAUGUUCCUAUUUUUUAAAAGCUAGAGAAAAGCAAAUGGGCGAUGUCGGAAAGGCUGUCCAAAGCAGCUGUCAUUUUAGAGCAAAGCAGAAAGCAUGGCUACCCGAGAUCUGCGGUGGAAAAGAGCAAAGCAGAAAAUAUGGCUACCCACUGAGAUAAUUACAAAAGUAGAAAAGAAAAGAGAAAAACAAAAGUAAGGAAUAAACAUCCUACCAGAAUGAUGUAAUUUAUAUUAUUUUCGGAGACAUAUGUAUAAACCCCAUCAGUGGGUAAUAUGUAUAAAACCCAUCAGAGGGUAAUCGUCAAAAAAAAAAAAAAAAAAAAAAAAAAAAAAAAAAAAAAAGGAAAAGCCCAAAACAAAUGGGCUGACAUGUUGUGGAAGGCGAAGACCCAUAAGCUUGAAAUAGCACCAACCAGGCGAAGACUCAUGUCAUUCAUACAUAAACAUUCAUGAGCAUCACUCAUGAUAAUCAUACAUAAACAUUCAUGACCAUCAUUCAUGUCAACAUUCAUGAGCAUCACUCAUGACAACAUCCAUGAGCAUCACUCAUGUCAAUCAACAUAAACAUUCAUGAACAUCACUCAUGUCAAUCAGCUUCAAAAGCUUCAUUUACAGAGCUCUAGCUUCAAAAGCUUCAUUUACAAAAAGCUCCAGUUUCGAAAGCUUCAUUUACAGAGCUAUAGCUUCAAAGCUUCACUUGCAAAGCUUCACUUACAAAGCUUCAGUGCAGGGUAUACAAAUACCACAUUCGAACAACCGCCACUUCGGCCUAUACAUAGAUUCAAUUUGAAGUCUCCAGCCAACAGCCUCUAUUGACUGAAGACUUGGGGGACUACAUUAUGUACCAUAUAUUGGGCCUCAACUGGGCCUCAUAAAAAAUACUUGGGAGACUCUAGCCCAUCACUUAUGUAUUGAGGAGCGAGCCCUUAUUCUAUAAAAGGGACUCCUUCACUUUUAGAGAGCACUCAUGAAAAAUACUUGAGGGACUCUAGCCCAUCACUUAUGUAUUGAGGAGUGAGCCCUUAUUCUAUAAAAGGGAAUCCCUCACUUUCAUUAGAGAGCACCCAUUAUUCAUGUACUGAGGAGUGAACCCUUAUUUUAUAAAAGGGACUCCCUCACCUUCAUUAGAGAGAAACGCCGCCAGCUGAGCAACCGCCUCGCCGUGAGCAUCAACUCUAGCCCAUCAUUUAUGUAUUGAGGAACGAGCCCUUAUUCUAUAAAAGGGACUCCCUCACCUUCAACACCACAAGCCGAGCCAACCAAGGCAAUAUAAGCCACAAGCCGAGCAACCUCGCAACAUGUGACAGUUGAGCAUCAUUUCAGAUUGAGCACCGCCUCAUAUCGAGCAUCAGUUCAAAGAUAACAUCUAGUUACUUCGGCCCACACAUGGACUGAAUUUCAAGUCUCCAGCCAAAAGACUCUCUUGACUGAAGACUUGGGGGACUACUGUUUAUACCAUAUUUAGGGCCUCGUAUUUAGAUCUCGUACAAAUACUCAGGGGACUUAAAUGUAAUUAUGGGAUAAAGGAAUGGGCAAAUAUGUAAUAAGUGAGGAGUCCUUAUUCUAUAAAAGGACCCCUCACCCUCACAAUUGGGAGAGGCUCAUUCUCACCCUCAGAGGCCAUUUCUGAAGCCUCUCACCCCCUCUCAAAGCUCCUCACAUCCCCUAAGCUCUCUCUCCCUCUUCAACAGAGAAAUAUAAUACAAUCAGUGUGGACGUAGCCCAAACCUUGGGGUGAACCACGAUACAUCUUGUGUCAUUUACAUUUCUUGCAGAUUUACGAUUGGAUUUACGUUGUUCCAAGACCCCCGGUAAUGGAUUUGACGUAGGUGAUGCCCAAUUUUCAAGAGACACUAUUGAAAAUGAAACUCAUAUUCAUGAAAAAAAAGAAAUUUUGCAUGAGUUUAUAAGAGAUUUGGCUACUCUCUAUAUUGCUAAUUGGUUUUGUAGUGGAAUCCCAACUUUUUUCAUAGUAUCAGAACAAGUUGUUCAACGUGUAAAGCCAAAUGGCCACACGGGCUCCAUGUCAUCCCGUUGUGCUGUCCACGUGUUAAGCUUGAAAAUUUGUCACAGGCACAGAUUUAAAUAUCGAUAUUAUCGGCGAAAUAUCGCCGAUAAUAUCGAUUUUUCGGGUAAUGGAUAUUUAAAUAGGUUUCCGUGUGGUUUUCGUCCAAAUAUCGCGAUAUUAUCGAUAAUAUCGAUAAUAUCGCGAUAUUUUGGAAAUAUCGAGAUAUUUCGUUGAACGGUGCAAUCGGACUCCGAUUUCGAACGCCGGAGAAGAACGCCGGAGAUGGUGUGGCUGUUCCCGAGCCCAUUUCAUCCCAAAAACCUUGCAAAAACACGAAUUUUAACUUCAAUUUCACAUAUAUGCUUCAAAUUUCACGCAUGCAUCAACGAUUCAACAUAUGAUGUCGGUUUAGGGCUUAGGGUUUCAAUGGAAUCUCACCUGAAAAAUCGAUGACUGGGCCAACUCCUUGCUCAGCGGCGCACCACCAGAGACGACUGAGCCAAGUCCGACUUCGCCAGAGCCACGAUCAACGGCAACGAAGGAUCGAGAGAGUGGGCGAAGGAUCGAGAGAGUGGGAGAAGGGGGAGAUCUGUGUGUGUGUGGGUCGAAUGGAGAAGGGGGAGAAGAGAGGUCAGGCCUCAGAGAAGAAGACCCCGGAGGCCCGGGAAACAACCGUCAUCGCCAACACGCGCAUCGACUGGAAGGAGACCCCGGAGGCCCACAUCUUCAAGGCGGACCUCCCGGGGAUCAAAAAGGAAGAGGUGAAAGUAGAGGUGGAGGACGGGAGGGUCCUGCAUAUCAGCGGCGAGAGGAGCAGGGAGCAGGAGGAGAAGACGAAGAACUGGAGAAGGGAGAAGCUCAGAAGUUCUAGAGAGAAGAGAAAGACAGAAGUUCUAGAGAGAGAAGGAUCCAGAGUGAGACUCUGUGGGCGUGCGUGGUUUUGGCUUUUGGGGGGGGGGGUUUUGUCUGUGACACACUGACUCACUGACUCUCUCUUCUGCGUGUGAUGUGUGGUGGUGUGAGAAAAAAAAAGAAUCCAAUGCAAUGAUCCAAUCCAAAUAAUUCAAAAUCAAAUAAAAAAACAUAUAAAUAAUUCAAAAGCAUCUUCAAAUAAUUUUGACAAGACACUCACUCUACACAUAGAGAUGAUGAAGAUAGUGAAAAAAUUGAACCUCAUAGGAACUCUAUGUGGUACUAAAGUGUAAAAUGUUGUACUAAUUCAUUAUAUAUAAAUGAUUAUGGUGUGUUUAGACUUCUUUCAUUAAUUACUACAUAUUUUUUACACUCACAAUGUUUGUCAGCUCGCUAUAUAAUCAACUUGAUAAUGUUAAAUCCAUCAUGCAAUGCAUUUCCUUCCAAUUUUUUGUGAUAAACUAAUAGAUAAUUGACUAAAUAAACAUCCUGCAAAGUUUCAAUAAAAAUUUCUAAGUUUUUCUUACAAUUUCCGUGGUUUCCAUGUAAUUUUUAUCGAUAUCGAUAUUUUACCGAUAUUUCCAUCGAUAUUUCCGUGUUUUCAGACUACCGAUAUUUCCGAUAUUACCGAUAUUUAAUACCAUGGUCACAGGUGAAAUCAAAGGAGGGACUUGCAUUAGCUUAUAAGAGGUUGAACUAUUCCCUAUAUUGCCAAUUUGUUUAAUUUUAAGGUGUGUUAUCCACACACCCUUUUUCACUUUUCACACACCUUAAUUUUUUGUCGUCAAAUUGAAUAAGUUGAAGAAGAUCAACUAAAUUAAUAAAGGAUGUCUGAAAAGUCCACACAUCCCUUAAUUUAUGAUGGAACCUCAACUUUCUUCAGACACCCAUGGCCAUGAGACUCACACUGCAUCAAUAGCAGCAGGGAACUUGGUCAGCAAUGCAAGUCUAACCAUUUAUGUUGGACAAGGAGUUUAACCAUUUAUGCUUAGUACUGAUCACUUCGGUUCUUUGGAUGAAUGUAUGUAUAGGUAUGGAUGGUGUGGUGUCUGUUUUCCCCAGUGAAAAGAAGAAGCUCCUCACAAGAACGUUAUGGGACUUUAUUGGGUUCCCGGAAAGAGAGUCGAGUAGCAACAAUCUUGACGAAAGCAAUAUCAUUGUAGGAGUGACUGAUACUGGAAUUUGGCCGGAAUCUGACCUAAAAAUGGGAAGGCACAUGACAAUCCUAAGCCAACAUUACUUGUAAUUUGUAUGGCAAACUAGUUUGUUGUCUGUUACUCCAAUCAUCAAUACAUCUAGAAUGUUUUUUUUUAUCAAAUUUGAUCAUGUGAAAUGAUGACUUUUGAAAACAUUAGGAAAUAGGAAAAGCCUAUAGUUUUCAAAUAAGGCUUUGGAUCUCAUCCGGAUCUAAAUUGUGGGGAUCAUAGGGAUCCUCAUAUCCUAACUAUUUAUCGUACAUCGUGCGACCAGAAAUCAUUUUAAAUUUUUUAUUUAAAAAUUAAACGCAAAUAGUACCUAACGAAAACUGAUCGCACGUUAUACGAUGAACGAUUAAGAUGUGAGGAUCCUUAGGCCAUCUCCAAUCGAAGGGUCCAGAGGGCCAGAUGGUUGAAAGUACCAAGAUGUUCAAUCUCAAUGACCUUCUCUUUAACUUUGUCUUGAACUUUCAGAUAUUCGAUGUCCAUUAGCCUCGAUGCUUUUGAUCUUCUUUUGGUACCUUAGAACUUUCUUUCAGAUAUUCGAUGUGAUUCAAUUAUUUGUCAAAUGAUUGUUUUUUUUUUUAAUUUUAUUUAUUUUUUUGAACAAAAAAUAUUAUCUACACUAAGAGGGAGAAGGGGUGCUUAGCCUCACAAUUGGCUAGCAAUAAUGUGAUUCAAUCAGUUAUUUAUUAAAUAUUAUUCUCUCUAUUUUUAAACACAUUUAAAACAUCUUAAGAGGUGCAUACCACCGGUGAUAAAAAAAAGGUCUUUCUGCCGGUUAUAAAAAAGGCAUUUUGCACGCGCAUAACAAUGUGAUUCAAUGACACACCUCGACUCGAAAUGUCCACUAGGACUCUGAAUCGAGCUGUGCUAGUGGAAGGUGACGAAGCCAUAAAGUAUAGUGCUGUGGAAAAUGUGAAUAAAUUUAAACCUAAAAGUGUUUAAACACAAGAGUGCGCUGUGAGCGGGAAUGAACUCAUUUCACACGCGACAUCAGAGCAUAAGUAAAGUACAGUAGUGUUGGUAAGGAUCAUACCCUCAAAGGUAGCCACCUAUACUGAGAUUCGCCAAGAAUCCUCGUCGAUAAGAACUUUCAGUAGCUAAAACCUGGCGGGGCAAAAAAACAAGGGUGAGUGAGCCUGAAAACAAAGUUUUAAUAAAAACAUUUUGAAAACGUUUUAACCCCUCGCUGUAAAAUUCGUAUAGUUUCUAGAAAUUAACACUACAUAUAUAUGUAAAACAAUGCACAAAGACAGUAAAAACCAAGUAUGAUCGUUUCAACACUAAAAUAUGUAAGCCAGGUGUGAAAAUCAAGGUAAAAUAAUAUGCCAGCUGGAGUCACCUAACGUGACCUGUAUGACUAAACCUAUAGCUCAUCAAACUAUGUCUGCACACGAGUUGAAACCACCUAAUGUGGUCUGUACGACAUGCUAGCUGUAAAUAAGUACGCUCAAGUGCUACGAUCUCGUGAAGGCUGUGCGAAUAAUCGCAGGUCACCUACGAGUUGGAACCACCUAUUGUGGUCUAUACGACAGGGAUGGCACCAAGCUUGGAUCCAAGGUGAGCGUGCGGUGCAUGAGGUGAACAUUACAUGAAGGACUGUGCCCUGACCUCGGGCGGGAGCACUAACACUAGGGUGCAGCAAUGAUGAGCUCUAAAUGCAUCUAUGCAUAACAAUGUGCAAUACAACCAAUACCAUCACAAUAUACUCACAUGAAGCUUACCUAAGCCUCUGCAGCAUCAAACGAUAUAAUGCAUAACAAUAGUAAUGAAAUACUAAAAAUAUAAUUCAUUCAUGACAUGGCAUUCAAAGCAUAGCUCAUAUAAAAGUGUUUUUGAAAACCGUAAAGCAUAUAUAUAAAUACUAUAAAAAGGAAGAAGACCCACUCACUUAGAGUCUGCGCUACAAUUCCCUAGCACAAACAUCGAGGCGUCACGAACGAUCGGCGCCUAGAACAAUUAUUAAACCACAUCUCAGAAUCCUUAUCAAUAGAACACAUAACUUACAUAAAACACAUCCCCAAGGAUGUUCUAGAAUGAUUUGAGACCCAUUGACCAAAAGUCAACCGUCGGUCAAAGAUUGACAGUAGGGUCUACAACCCUAGAUAAUUCGAUCUGGAAGAUCCGCACCUCAGAUUUUCCAAUCUGUAACUUCCAAAUAUCCACAUUAUGCUUCUAAAACAUCAUACUAAAGUUUUAUUAUGAUCCAACGGUUGGAUCUUCGCCAAUUACCAAAACCAAGUGGCGGUCGAAGUUUUAUUUUACGAACUUUCAAAUCCAACUCAGAAAUACCCGCACUUCGGAUUCCCGAUCUGUAAAUUCCUAUGGUCCUUAAAUAUUGCGUACUAUAAUGUACUAAAGUUUGGUGACGAUCCAACGGUCGGAUCGUCAAUUACUAUUCUAAUCAAAUGGCGAACCUUAAUGGAACUAGGUUCAAACCACAUAAAUUCGUCAAUUAGACUUCACAAAUGGAAUCAGGGUAUUCAAAUUUAGCCUAGGAAGGUUAGGAGACGUCUCUGCCCACACGCUGCCGCACGUGCCACCGCAAGUGGCGAUUGGCCGCCCCGACUCGCAGGAAAAAUCAACUAUUUCUAAAAAUUACCAAAUUUUACAAAGAAGUAGAUAUCAAUAAGGGGAACAAUUUUCAUACCUGUGGCCAAGUCCAAUUUGAUCGGGAAACACCUGAAAUCCACCUCGAUCCGCGGAAACCCUUGAAAUGGGUGUUCUUGACUCGACUCCAAACAAGCUCCGACGACUCAACCAUUGUUUAGGCUUUGUUCCUGUGGUUGAGGGGAGUCUAUUGGUGGUGGUGGUGGUCGACAGGAUUAACUUCAAAUUUUGACGAUUCGAACCCAAAACCGCCACACCCCACCGUGCAGGUUCUCCCAAUAUCAAGGCCAAAUCCCUUGAUUUUUUGGGUGUAAUAGGAAGGGGGAAGGUCAUGAAGGAUUUUCCAAGUGGUGGUUUGAUGAAAUUUUCUGGAAAAAGGACGAUUCAUCGUUGAAAAACCUCCCAAAAAUGGGUCGGGUCACGAGUUAAGGGGAGGGUCCGAUUCUCUCUUUCUUUUCUCCCUCAUUUCCUUUCCUCCUGAUUGGCCGAUUCCCUCCCUCCUUUCUCUCAUUUCUCUUCUCUCCUUCUCAUCCCAACCGUCUAUUUCUUCCUUCCCUUUUCUUUUCCUUUCAUCCCAGCCACACACAUGGCAUUUCACAUGGCUUCAGAUUUUCUGGAGCUUUCUAAAGAAGAUUAAAAUUACCAAAAUAUCCCUAACUUUAAACGUUAAUAUCUCCUUUGUUGUAACUCCAAAUUACGUUCCGAUUGCGCCCACACGUUCGUAACGACAAAUACUACGAGGAUAUGUUAAGAAAAUAGAUCUUACAUGACAUGACAAGGUAGUAAAAAAAAAUCAACGUAUUUUCCUCGAAGGGCAUUUCCGUACAUUCACUCAUUAAAAUUACAAAAAAACUGUAAAAUUGGAAAUGGGUCGUUACAUUCAAUUAGUUAUCAAAUGAUCGUUUUUUUUAACAAACGAUAUUAUCUACACUAAGGUGGAGAAGGUGAGCUUAGCCUCACAAUAGGUUAAUGUGAUUCAAUCAGUUGUUUAUUAAAUAUUAUUUUCUCUAUUUUUUAUGUAAAUUCAAUAGAAUGUAGAUGAAAAUUGAAAGACUGAUUUUAUUAUGUGGAUUUAGCUGCUUUGAUUGGUUUGUGAGGGGUUUCUUAUAGCGUUGUCUAAUAUUAUUCAUUUAGUCCAAAUAUUUGACUUUCUUUUUGUCAUGAAAAUAAAAAUAUUAAAGCAAUUCACGUAUAUAAAUGCAUUUAAAAUGUGUAAGUAGCGCGCAGGACACCGUGAUUCAAAUAUGCCUUCUGCACGCGCGUAAGCGCUUGCAUGAAGGCUAGUGAUACGAAAUGAAAGGACAAGUUUGAAAAUAGACUAUUCAAUAUUUGUGGAAAUCUUUAUUCAGUAGAAUAUCCAAUAGUUCUCAUUCUCCAAUGCAUCUACCAUUUCAUCUCAAAUACAAAGAAAGGUAGGUCUACAAAUAACAAUCAAAGGGAGUACAAAAGGUGACCAAAAUAUAGCCACAUUUUCAAUUAUACAUGAAUUAAAAUUUCCACAGAAUGUGUUGACUUCAUGACUUAGUAAUUUAAAGUCUUGGUCCUUGGAAUGAUUAGAUAGAAAACUAUUUUGGGGACUCUUAAAUUUUGGGACCCUGUGCCAUGGAACCGGUAGGUCCCCCUCAAUAUCAGCUCUAAUUAUGAAUGGAUGUUUAAUCAUAGGUAAGGAAUGAUAGGGAAAAAAGGAAAACGAAAGUAAAGAUGUAAUGUGAAAUUUGUUAGGGUGGCUAGCAAACAAUUUCAUGAAAAUAAAGGUAAAAAAAGAAAAAGAAAAAAAGGAACGUCUAGAAUUGAACUUUUAAUAAAAUGAAAUUAAUCAAAACUGGACGAAAAUUGUUUAACCAAAUUCUUAAGGGGAGUUUUAACGAAAGUCCGCGGUACUGUUUACUUUAACGAAAAACCACAUUUUUACACUAAAAAGUCAAACCUGGUACUUUUCACUUUACCCUUUAUUUUGUCCUUAUCGUUAAAACUCAAAGUUUUCAAACCCUUUUUAUUAGUUUUCCUAUUCUUAAAAGUAAUAGAUGUUUAAUCACCAAAAUUAAAAAACAACGCGUUUAUAUCAAAACGCCCCCAAACUAUGUAAAAUAAUCAUGGGAGCACACCAUACCCCUAAGAAUAAAGAGAAAUUGCAACACGUGAAAUGCAUGGCUUUUCAUUUUUAGUAUAAGCAGGGCUGUCUCUGAAAUUUCGGGGAUCCUAUGCAAAUUUAUAAAAGGGCCCUUCUUAAGAUAAUAUUAAAAAAACUUCGUGGUUGUUUUUCUUUAACAAAAAAACCUAUCAAUAACUCGUUUUUUAGACGAGUCAAUUGUUCAACUUUUUUUUCUUUGGCGUUUCAAGUAGCCACAUAAAUAUUUUUUUAGUAGGUGUUAUCUUUUAUAUCUCAAACAAUAUCAUAAUUACAUUAUACUAAGCAUAUACAAUAAAACCUGAUAGUUCGCAAUGCAUGUGCGUCUAGUGGUUUUUGUUUACUGCUCCCCUCUUGCUAUGACAAUUACUUGAUUAAUUUUUAUGAGUUUUGCCCUAAAAAGUACAAAAGGAAAAAAAUAUCAUUAUUAAUAAAAAUACCUAAAUCUUCUAAUUCCAACUUAAUAUACUUGAACUAGUAAUACCUUAUUUUAAUCGAAGUCUACACCACUCUGACCACUUCAAUUGUCUUCGUGAUUUGGAAAAUUUUCUUCAAUGUUAGGAAAUUUUGAAUUUAGGGUUUAAUGGUUUGUGUAAAAAAAGUGGUGAGGAUGGGAGAUACAUGGGAAGUGGGAGAGGGGGCGUCUGGAUGAGAGAGAGAAGUGGAUCAUGACUCUUGGAGUGAGAAUUGAGAAACAUUAUGAAUAAUAUCAUUAUUUUAUAAUUUUUAUAAAUUUUUUUAUGAUUUGAUGACUUAUGUAGGCAUUCAUGUAGCUUGUGGCUUGUGGGCCCACUAGGAUUUUUAUAUCUUUUAUGUGGUUCUGAUUAGCCUUUUUAUUUAUAUAAAUAAUAUAAUAUUAUUUCAUAAGAUAAUCGAUUAGAUAGAAAACGGAAAAAUUAGUAUUCGGUCCCUAGUUCUUACUGUUCAUUGACUAAGACCUUAUUAAUUCUUAAAUUUUGAUUCAAGUCCCUAGCAAUAAUGUGAUAAUGAAUUUACAUGUUUAUUAUAUAAUUUUUUAAUAUAAAAAUUAGUAAUUAAUUUAGGGUUUAAUACUCACACCUCUACUAAACUUCUAAUUAAUUUUCAAUUCAAACAUUUCCAAAAUAAUAAAAAAUUAAAUUAAAUUAAGUUUGUACCUAUUAGUUUUUUUUUAUAUAUAAAAAGAUUCUCAAUUUUUUAAUCUUAAAUGUACCCAUUCAUAUAAUUUUUCAAUUUUUUUAAUCUUAAAUGUACCCAUUCUCAAAUAUAUCAAUUUGUUAUAUGUCAAAUGUACCCUUUUUUUUUAAUAUAAAAUCCAUUCAAAAAUUUUAAUCCAUGUUUAAACUUAUAUGGGUACAUUCUUUUUUGUUGAUUUGAGAAUGUAUCCAUGUUUUGGUACAAUAACUUUUUUUGUUAAUUUUGGUUAAUGUACCCAUACAUAUAUGUAUAUACACACACACACACACACAAUAUAAUAGAGAGUAUAAUUUAUAUUUUAUUAUUUUAAUCCCAUAAAUUAUGGGUUUUAUUUAAAAUCUCUUUAAUAUAAACAAUUACAAAUUUUAAAUUUUAAUUUUUAAUUUAAAAAAUAUAGUAAUGUCAGGGACCUCAAUAAAAAACUAAAAUCUAACAAGAUUUCAAUCAAAGAAUAUUGAUAGUUAGGGACCGCAUCCAAAGUGUCUCGAUAGAAAACUAUUUUGGGGACUCUUAAAUUUUGGGACUGUGCCAUGGAACCGGCAGCUCCCCCUCAAUCUCAGCUCUGAUUAUAAAUACAUGAUGGUGUUCUUGGAUGAGAUUCUCCAUCUUUUACAUGCUUUCUAGAACUUCGCUACAAUGGCUUUAACCCCAUGGUUUCUCCUUCUCAUCAGCCUCAUAUCUACUCUGCCAGUUGAUGUCACUCUAUCUGCUGCUCACCAGGAUACCCGGAAGGCAUUCAUAAAAUAUGCAUUUUGAACAAUUCCGUUUCUCUGCUCUAAAUAUGUUCAUUAAUUAAUUUAAUCUUCUGAUCUUGGAUAUAUUAACUGCAGGAUUAUAUUGUGUAUAUGGGUGACAAGCCAAAGCCAGAGGUUUCCACCACUACCACAUCAGCUUUUCAUGUAAACAUGCUACAAAACGUCAUCGAUGACAGGUUUAAUUAAUUAUCACAUAUGAUAGUGAGCUUAGUUAUAUAUACUGAUCAGUGUUUUAAAAUACUCGCAUCGAGGGCCUUAGUGGGUGGCUUGCCGUCUCUAUUUUGUGGGAGACGGCGAAAAACUCGGAUAGCUUCGUCGGGGCGUGCCUCAGGAUGUUUGAUUUGGCGUCAGUUUUGUUUAAAGGUUGUCGAAAUCUGAAAAAAAAAAAUUGAUUGAAAUCUGGGUUUUGUUUUCAGUUGCAUAGCAGUCUGAAGAAGAUGAAGAAGACCUCAAAAAUUGAUUGAAAUCUGGAUUGAAUUCUGGAUUUUUCUUUUUUUUUUUAUAUUAUUUUUUUCACUUUAUUAACCGCUGUUAAAUCAUAUCUUUUAGCAUAUUCUAUUUUGUAAGUUUUUGUUUUUUAUAUUAUUUAAUAGAUAUUAAAAAAAAUAAAAGAUAAACAGAGAAAAUAUUUUUAUUUUUAUGAAGUAUAUAGACCUAAAAAAACCUCAAAAGUGUUGGGUUUUAAAGAGACUUCACUACUUUGGAGAUAAACAUCUCCAAAGAAGAAUGUAAUGCAGCGGAAAUUGAUAGGCAAGAGAAAAAGAACACUCAAGGUAUAACACACAAAAACCUUUUAUUCUCACACAAACUAAUACAAGAGGAAUCACUCAAAACACUCUUAGAAGCUAUGGAUGCUUCUUCUACUUAUUCUCUUUUCUUUUAGGUAGAGAGCCUUCUUGUCUCUCUUACUUCUUCUUCUUUCUCUUUUCUUCACUUCUCAUUCUUAAACAUAACAACAUACUCUAUUUAUAGGCAAGUAUAACCAACCAUACCAAGUGUGAAUACCAAGUGUGAAAUCAUCCUAGCCAUUAUUCAUGACUCUACUAAAAGUAGCCCACCACCAUGGACUUUGCUUAUGGACACAAUGAACACAUGCCAUUCUUAUGCUAGAAUUGUCAAGCAUUUUCAAUGCAUGCACCGGCCACUUUUCUAGAAGCAAGAUUACCAUUCAACAAAAAGACCCUAAAAAAACUCAAAAUAUAUCUUUACUUUUUAACGUUAUACAUUACCCUUUAGUUUUCUUUUUAAGACUCCACAUCCACAUAUCUCAUCAAAAUAUUAUGUAUAUGUAUGUAUGUAUGUAUGUAUUGUAUGUAUAUUAAAAAAUUUAAGUUCCGUAAGGUUUCGCCUCACGCCUCAAGGCUUUCGUUUAGACGGAGCUAUCCAUAACACGCCUCAUCUACGCCUUCGCCUUUUAAAACAUUGAUACUGAUUAACAUUAUUCGUGACAAGGGUACCAUUUAAUUUAGUCAUCUCUCAUACAUACACAUCUUCUCUUUGUUUUUCAAGCUUAAUUAUGGCAGAGUUUGAAAGUGUCAAAUUUUUUAAGAUUUUGAUUUUUGACGUUUAUUUAUCCAGCAAUAUUGCGCACGAAUCUCUGCUUCUGCACAGCUACAAGAGAACCUUCAAUGGCUUUGCUGCCAAGCUAACAGAGGAAGAAGCACAGAAGUUGGCUGGUUGUCUUAUGAACCCAACUUAAUUUUAUUUUUCAACUUGAAUAAACAUUAAAAGUGACCGUUGUAUGACUUGAAAAAUAUAUGCAGGAAUGGAUGGUGUGGUGUCUGUUUUCCCUAGUGAAACUAAGAAGCUCCAAACAACAAGGUCAUGGGACUUCAUUGGGUUUCCUAAAAUAGUGAAGAGAAGCGCCAUUGAAACUGAUAUCAUUGUCGGGGUGAUUGACUCUGGAAUUUGGCCUGAAUCUGCCAGCUUCAGUGACGCCGGGUUUGGUCCACCCCCCAAAAGGUGGAAAGGCGCAUGCAAGGGCGAAGGCAAUUUUACUUGCAACAAGUAAAGCAAACCAGUUUAUUUCAACCAUCCACUGCACAUUUCAAAAAACUAAAAAACAAAACAUCUCGUGUUGUUGUUAAUUACACUUGGACAGAAACAAAAAGUGCGAACUUGAUUUAUAUGAUAUGUUGUCAAAUUGUAACUCUGACUUAAAUAAUAUGACAUACUGUUGUUACACUUGGACAGUAAAAUUAUCGGAGCACGGUAUUACCGCAGUCAACCCUACCCACAAAAUAGCAGUGAUAUCUUGUCUCCGAGGGACACGGAUGGCCAUGGAACCCACACUGCAUCAACAGCAGCAGGGAACUUAGUUAGCAAGGCAAGUCUGUAUGGUUUAGGGUUGGGGACAGCAAGAGGAGGGGUGCCAUCAGCACGCAUUGCGGUGUACAAAGUUUGUUGGUCAGAUGGGUGCCCGGAUGCUGAUAUUCUAGCGGCAUUCGAUGAUGCCAUAGCUGACGGUGUUGACAUACUCUCUGUCUCCCUUGGGGGGUUUAAACCGUUAGAUUAUUUCAGAAAUUCCAUUGACAUUGGAGCUUUUCACGCUUUAAGAAAAGGAAUAUUCACUUCCGCGUCUGCUGGCAAUGAAGGGCCAAACCUGAAAACUAUUACAAACUUUGCACCAUGGUAUCUUGCUGUGGCUGCUAGCACCAUAGAUCGCCACUUUGAUACCAAGGUUCUUGGGCAGAUGGCACUCAGAAUAUUUAUCUAGAGAGAUACUAGAGAAUUGAUUAAACAUGAAAGUUGAUUAUGAUUUGUUUUUGCUUCCUUGGUAGGGAAUAGUAACAAACACAUUUGAACUCAAGGGUAAAUUCUACCCCAUAGUAUAUGCUGCAGACGUUCCAGAUACGGCAGCUGGUUACGAUGGGGAAACAUCCAGGUAUGUGUACGCAUUUUGAGAGUAUAUAUACCAUUUAUAUUGAAGAACCACGGUAGUCUAGCAUAAGUCUAACCAGGUGCUAAUAACAUGGAUAUAUAUAUGGAGCAGGUUAUGCCGAAUAGGCACGUUAGACAAAAAAUUGGUGGAGGGUAAAAUUGUUCUUUGUGAUGGGCCUACUGGGUAUGGGGCUAUAUAUGCAGGCGCAUUUGGUUAUGUUUUGACAAGCCGAAAAGCAGCAGAUGUAAUCGAUCCUGUUCCAAUACCAGCAGCUUCCAUUUGGUUCCACCUUGGUAACGAAAUUGCCCAUUACCUAAACUCAACCAGGUAUCAAUAUUUGAGAAUGACAGUGCAUGAUUGAUUUAAAAUAUUACUAAUGCGCCCGUUUGUUAGAGUAGGGCCCAACGGGCCUGUUGAUCCAAAAAUUCCAGUGAGCUUGUCACCAAGAAGGAAACAAGCCAGGACUCUUAACAAAGAGCCGGCAUCUGAGUUCCUUUAAAAACAAGUCUAGACUCUUAACAUAGAGCUGACCUCCGAGUUUCAAUUGCCGAUGUGUUGAUCUCUACGUAUGAACCACUAAAUGGGGUUACACGUGAGGGGAAGUGUUGGAAUCCUACAUCGAUGGGUGCAAAAGAAAAUAACGGGUUUAAGUAUGAUUGCCCCAUUCUAACUAAUAUCGAGGCCUUCUGUAAUAAAAUCUCACACCUGACGGAUUGGGUAUGUAGUAAAGUUAAGGACAUUAUUAAUGUUGUUAGAGUAGAGCCCAACGGGCCCCCCGAUCCAAAAAUCCAACAAAACUAACAUAAAUCAAAAGACCCCUUUUAUGUUAUUGCUAAUAAAUCCUGAAUCCCUGUAAUGAUUCGCAGGAACCCAACCGCAACAAUUUGGAAAAGUACUGAGGGUAUGGAUGCACUGGCACCAUACGUACCUUCAUUCUCAUCAAGGGGUCCAAAUCCAAACACUCCUAACAUUCUCAAGGUAACUUCAAGGCCCCGUAGGUGUGUGAAUGCUGACUUAAAAAAAUGAACAAACCGAAUCAUGAAUAUUGAGGGGUCUUAAUUUUCCUCCUUGUUUUCUCCUAUAUGUUGCAGCCAGAUAUCGCUUCUCCUGGAGUUUCCAUUCUAGCAGCAUGGUCUCCAAUUGCCCCAGUUUCAGGUUUUGAAGGUGAUGACAGGGUAACUUCAUACAAUAUUAUCUCGGGGACAUCAAUGGCAUGCCCACAUGCUGCGGGCGUGGCUGCAUACGUCAAAUCAUUUCACCCCAAUUGGUCACCUGCUGCUAUCCUGUCAGCUCUUACGACUACUGGUAUAGAUGCAUUUUCAUAAAUGUACCAAUUACAAUACAACCGUUCUCUCACAUAUUUGAUGAGUUGUGUGACCAAUUAUUAUCAGAGAUCAUGUGACCAAGUCUUGUGAGAGAGACACUACAUAUAAUUAGACUUUGACCAUGAUGUACAUUGUAUUACCUAAGAUUUAUAUGUUUGAUUAAUUUGUAACGAUUUUGCAGCCAAACCUAUGAGUGCAAAUCUUAACCCUGAAGCCGAAUUCGCGUACGGUGCUGGCCUACUAAAUCCUAGUAGGUCUCCGUAUCCUGGUUUGGUAUACGACGCUGUUGAAAUCGAUUACGUAAAUUUUUUGUGUGCACAAGGCUAUAGUACCAAAUUAUUGAAAGCUCUUACCGGGGAUAGCUAUAGCUGCUCAUCAUCACAAUCUAGUCAUGGAACACUCAGUGAUCAUCUAAACUAUCCUUCUGUUGCACUUUCCACCUCGAACCCUAAAUCCGUCAAAGGCAUUUUCAAUAGGACCGUCACAAAUGUUGGAUCACCAAAGUCCACAUAUAAAGCUAAAGUGAGUGCACCACCAGGACUUGAAAUCAAAGUUAAUCCAAGCGUUCUAAAGUUCACAUCUCUCGGGCAGAAGCUAUCGUUUCAAGUCAUGGUGAAAGGGUUGAUUGAAAAAACCAUAGUCUCUGGUUCUCUGGUGUGGGAUGAUGGUAAAUUCCAAGUGAGGAGCCCCAUUGUUGUGUAUUUUGUGUUUUGAGAACAAUAUGUGUAAUAAUGUAUGAUGCAUGAAUAAGCAAUUGCAUGAAACUAGAUAGGGCUUCAAUGAAACAAAAUUGCAACAUAUUGAUCACGAUGAUGUAUUUUAAAUGAAAACUAAAUUAUUAUAUAUUUAUGAACCUUUAAUAUGAUGUAGUACAUCGAAGUACAUUGAAAUUUGAAACGUACCCAUUUAAGGAUAUUUUAUAGCUCUCUAUGCAAUCUAAUUGUAUAUUUGAUAGUUCAUUUUUGGUCUGCAUGGGAAAUAUGGAUUUUCUCCUAUGUUGAUUACUUGAUUGAAGGCCCCAUCCCUCGUUGCCCGUUUAUACAGGUUGUACCUAUCACUAAAUCAAGUUAUCAACGAGACUUUAGUCGGAACCUUCCUGAUUAAAAACAAAAGACCGAAAAACUUCGGUGGGGACAUUUGCAAACAACGACGUAUACACAUGAAAAAUAUCAGAGUAGCAUCAUGUAUCGGUGGCAUAAAAAUCUUUACGCACCCACGUGUUCUAGAUGUUGGCACAUGAUCAUGCAUCGAUAGAUAUACGUAUGCACAAUGCAUGCCCUACCAUGCAAAUUAUGCCAAGAACAACAAUCAAUCGAGUGACCAGUGGUGGGAGAGCUAGGAAUAUUAGCAAGCUGCAUUUUCUCAAUUCCCACUCUCACUUGUUUGAGCAUACCGACUAAGAUGCUUGUUUCUUGACUUGUGGAUGUAUCCCAAGGUCAAUAUGGAUGCAUGGCAUGCGAUGUACGUCAGGAGGUUUUUCUUCUUUUCAAAAGCAGUAUAUGUUGGAAAAGUUAGACAUGGAAUUGAUACCACAGUUAAUAUGCUUUUGUACCUCAUUCCCUAUAACCAAAAAUUGCUUCAAGUAAAAAUUACCUUAUUUCGCAACAUUUCUUCAACUGGCUACUGGCUCUCUAGUUUUUCAAUUGUCAUCAUGGUCCAAGUACCUAAGCUGGGUCGGAUCAUUUUCUUCUUUGAGCAGAAGGACGUUAACCAUCGGAUUACCCUCGAUGAUUGCACAUGUUAUGCACUAAGAAAAGGUUGCAAGCGGUUAUUUGCUUGUAGAGCUACCGGCUGCCUUAUAGUACAAACUAGAAAGUUCUACCCGAACGUUGCUGCAGGAUUAAAAAUUGUGUAAAAAAAAUUAUGUUUCAAAGGUAUAAACCUAUCAACUUGUAUCACAUCUAACUGAACUACAACAACAUAUUGAAACACUUAAUAUGAAAUUCAUAAGCUAUUUGACAAUAUGAAAUCAAGCAAUUAUUGAAAAUCAGAAACGGAGCUUAGAAAGUAAAAAAUCCUACCUCAUUAUAUUAAAACAAUUAACAAAUUCUCGGUGAAUGAUCACAAAAAAUGCUCAGUUCUCACCAUAAUGAAAAUUAUGACAUCGUUUUAACAUGAACUCGAGUUCAUUUUAGUCACCAGCAUUAAUAAAACAAGUGACUUCAACCUGUGCAAGGAAACAACUGACUUAGACGCAAGCCAACCAACUUUGAAUCUAACCAAAUAAAAAAAGUAAUCACAAUCGAACUAACCUCUUCUUCCCAAAUGAAGUAGAUGUCCCCUGUUUUGCCAUUGUGAACAGUGUACUCUACUCUCAACACACAAAAAGAACACACUCAAAUUGCUGAGCAAUAUUAUAAAAGCUACACAUACAUCAUUGUAUAUAUAUUUGGACAUAAAGUAUAAAGAUCUGCUGACAGUAUCAAGCUUAAAUUUAACAAAAGCAGUAAUUACGAAUUGAAAUCAAACGAUAAUAUGGUUGUUAAAAAAAAUUCUAACUAAAUUUUACAAAUAGCAUCAUAAAUGUUAAAAAAAAAUAACACCAUUGAAAAAACUCAUUACUCAAAUAUGUAAUUCUAUAAAAACACAUCACUGAAAACUUCAAUUUCAUGUCAACCUAUAUCACAUCCAAAACCCAUUAAUAAUCUCUUCUUGUGUAUAGCUUGUCCUCAGAAUUCGCAGCUGAAAACGGAAUGUAAGUUCAGAGUAUGAUGAAAAAGAAGAAAUGAAAGAGUUGUGUCAAUGAAAAAAAAUGAGAGAGCGGGUAUCAGAACAAUCUACAAAGAAGAAGAAUUUGAGAUAAAUAAGUGGAUAAAUUGCUUACAUGAAGAGCUGAUUUCAAAUCGAUGAUCCAUUUCUCACCCAAAUAAUAUUUAACAAUUGCAAUUAGUAAAAUUUUCUUGAUAAGAUGAAAUCUAGGAGCAUAAUAAUAAGCAUUAGAAAUAGAAAAGCCUUAUAUGGUGAUUAAGGCCCUUAAUUAACUUGCGAAGCUUGAAAAGUCAUUCUCUUCACGUGGUUAAUUUGGAAGUUAUCCAAUGUAUGUAAAAACAUGAAUCAGAAGCAAAUUGAUGAAAUCGGAGGGAAAAAAUGUUACUUAGUAAUUGUAUAUGUUAUGAAGGCAUCAAAUAAAGUCCUGAUAAAAUACCAGCAUCUUUAUAUUAACCACUUUACAUAUAAAUUAUAAAUGAUUAUCAAACAUCCUUAAACAAAUUUCAUUUAGGGAAGACUGAUGAGGGAACUCCGCCUAUGUAAUUUUACAUUGCCGGUCCCAAGCCCGGAUAAAGGAGGAGGGGGAGGGCGUCAGGUAGUCGACAGCCUGCACUCCAUGAUCACGUCGAAUCCUUAUGAAAAUGAAUCCAGAACAAAAUCGCGCUAAAGCUAGGGCGUCACCCGUAAGUGGCGCGCUGUGUGGCCCGAGCACAGUGAUAAGUGAGCAAGGGUCGCUGUAUCUCCAUCGGCACCCGGAUGCAGUGUUAAAUGAGCAAGGGGGCCGUAGAAACUUCUUUUCGAACGACUCCACUCAAAGUUGUUUGGGAGCAUAUGCUCCUAUCAACUUUACACGGGACACACAAAAGAAGUACUUUGAUCCUAUUAGACGGGGGAGGGUGAAGAAGCUAGGACAGAAGGGUAGAGUUCAAGAGAGCAAAAUGCGUUUAGGAACGUGGAAUAUAGGAACCUUAACGGGAAAAUCUAUGGAAGUAGUGGAAGUUAUGGUGAGGAGAAGGAUAAAUAUUAUGUGCCUACAAGAAACUAAGUGGGUUGGUAGUAAGGCAAAUGAUCUAGAAAACUCAGGGUUUAAACUUUGGUAUUCGGGCACAAAUAGAACGAGAAACGGUGUUGGCAUCAUCGUGGACAAGACCUUGACACAAGAUGUUGUAGAUGUCAAGAGGGUAGGAGAUAGAAUCAUGGCAAUCAAGAUUGUAAUAGGACAAGAACUUAUCAAUGUGAUUAGUGCGUACGCACCUCAAGUAGGGUUGGAUACGAGUUCGAAGGAGAAAUUUUGGGAAGACCUUGGAGACUUGGUGCAAGGAAUUGCUCAGACGGAGAAGUUAUUUAUAGGAGGAGAUCUAAAUGGACACGUGGGCAGGGAGACAGGCAACUAUGGAGGUUUUCAUGGUGGCCAUGGUUUUGGAGAGAGAAACGAGGAUGGGGAAGCUAUCUUGGAUUUUGCAAUGGCAUAUGAUCUCUUCUUAGCCAACACCUUCUUUAAGAAGAGAGAAGAACAUGUGAUCACCUACAAGAGUGGGUCGUCAAAAACACAAAUAGAUUUUCUUCUAAUGAGGAAAGGGGAUCGUAUAACUUGUAAGGAUUGCAAAGUUAUACCAGGAGAGAGCGUGGCUAAUCAACAUCGCUUGUUGGUGAUGGAUGUACAUAUCAAAAGAGGGAGACAAAAGAACAAGACUUGGAAGUGCCCAAGGACUAGAUGGUGGAAUCUAAAAGAAGAAAAACAAGCCAUUUUCAAAGAGAAGGUAAUCACCCAAUGUGUGUGGGAUAGAGAGGGGGAAGCUAGCCAAAUGUGGGAUUCCAUGGCUAGUUGUAUCCGAAAAGUAGCAAAAGAGGUAUUAGGAGAGUCCAAGGGCUUUGCCCCACACCAAAAGGAAUCUUGGUGGUGGAAUGAGGAGGUACAAACAAAGGUGAAGGCUAAGAAGGAAUGUUGUAAAGCCUUAUACAAGGAGAGGACCGAUGAAAAUGGUGAAAGGUAUAGAAAAGCGAAGCAAGAGGCGAAGAAAGCGGUCAGAGAAGCUAAGUUAGCGGCUUACGACGAUAUGUAUAAACGACUAGAUACCAAAGAAGGAGAGUUGGAUAUCUAUAAAACUAGCUAGAGCAAGGGAAAAGAAGACAAGGGACCUAAACCAAGUGAGGUGCAUCAAGGAUGAGGAUGGAAAGGUUCUUGCUACAGAGAACGCGGUUAAAGACAGAUGGAGAGGUUAUUUUCAUAAUAUUUUCAAUGAAGGACAUGAAAGGAGUGCUUCUUUAGGGGAGUUGAGUAACUCAGAAGAGUGUAGAAACUACUCUUUUUAUCGUCGAAUCCGGAAGGAAGAAGUGGUUGUAGCUUUGAAGAAGAUGAAGCAUAGAAAAGCAAUAGGCCCAGACGAUAUACCAAUUGAAGUGUGGAAAGUUUUGGGAGAGACAGGUAUAACAUGGCUCACUGACCUUUUCAAUAGGAUUUUGAAAACAAAGAAGAUGCCAAAUGAGUGGCGAACGAGCACUUUGGUGCCUAUCUACAAGAAUAAGGGCGACGUACAAAAUUGCAUGAACUAUAGGGGUAUUAAGUUAAUGAGUCAUACAAUGAAGCUCUGGGAGAGAGUCAUUGAGCAUAGAUUGAGGCAAGAGACACGGGUUUCGGACAACCAAUUCGGGUUCAUGCCAAGGCGCUCAACCAUGGAGGCAAUCUAUCUCUUACGAAGAUUGAUGGAAAGAUAUAGAGAUGGGAAAAAGGAUUUACACAUGGUCUUUAUAGAUUUGGAAAAAGCGUAUGAUAGGGUCCCAAGAGACAUUCUUUGGAGGAUCUUAGAGAAGAAAGGAGUACGAGUAGCAUAUAUCCAAGCUAUAAAGGAUAUGUAUGAAGGAGCAAAGACUGCCGUAAGAACUCAUGAAGGACAAACCGAAAGCUUUCCCAUAACUGUAGGAUUACAUCAAGGCUCAUCCUUAAGUCCUUACCUUUUUGCGUUGGUAAUGGAUGAGUUAACAGGACAUAUUCAAGAUGAUAUUCCUUGGUGUAUGCUUUUCGCAGACGAUAUAGUGUUGAUAGAUGAAACUCAGGAAGGGGUAAAUGCAAAGCUUAACCUUUGGAGAGAAGUGUUGGAAUCUAAAGGUCUUCGCCUAAGCCGAUCAAAGACAGAAUAUAUGGAGUGCAAGUUCAGUGCAGAUGGAGGCCAAAACGAGUUAGGGGUGAGGAUCGGAGAUCAAGAAAUACCAAAGAGCGACCGUUUUCGUUACCUAGGAUCUAUCUUGCAAAAGAACGGAGAAUUAGAUGGAGAUCUCAACCAUAGAAUACAAGCUGGAUGGAUGAAGUGGAAGAGUGCAUCUGGCGUGUUGUGUGAUCGCCGUAUGCCAUUGAAGCUCAAGGGAAAAUUUUAUAGGACGGCAAUAAGGCCGGCGAUGCUGUAUGGCACAGAAUGUUGGGCGGUGAAGCAUCAACACGUACACAAAAUGGGUGUAGCGGAGAUGAGGAUGCUUCGUUAGAUGUGUGGGCACACGAGAAAGGAUAAAAUUAGGAAUGAGGAUAUCCGGGGUAAAGUAGGAGUAGCCGAAAUUGAAGGAAAGAUGAGAGAAAAUCGGUUACGGUGGUUUGGACAUGUGCAAAGAAGGCCUACUGACGCUCCGAUUAGAAGAUGCGACUAUGGGACAGAGGUUCAGGGCCGAAGGGGUAGAGGAAGACCUAGGAAAACUUUGGAAGAGACUCUAAGAAAAGACUUAGAGUACUUGGAUCUAACGAAGGACAUGACACAGGACCGAGCACAAUGGGACGUUCUAAGGCGUUCUAAUUCAUAUAGCCGAUCCCACUCAGUGACUUGGAUUUUCCAAGUCUCCAACCGAGAAGUUUUCCUCACUCGAAAAAUUAAGGGAACACUACCCCAACCUACAUGCUCCACUCAGAAAGCUUCAACAUACAAGCUUCAACAAAAGAAAAUUCAAAAGAACUUAGUGAAGAAGGCUUUGGUGUAUUUAACACAAUACGUUGAAAUGAAGGAAAACUUAUUUAUUGAUAUCCCCGAUAAGCUACAAAUAUGUACAUAUACAUGAGUCAAAAUAAACAAACAAGAUGGAGCCUUCACAAAGGUUGCUUAGGAGAAGUCUCAGCAGUCGGUAGAGCCCCAGAAAGAGAAGGCAUCGGAGGGGGAUCAUUCGGAGCCUCAGUACUGGACAGAACCCUAGAAGGAGGAGGCAUCAGAGGUUGAUCAUUUGGAGCUUCAUUACGCGGUACAGCCCCAGAAGACGAAGGCAAUAAAUGCCUUUGGAACAAACCCACAAAUCUCUGAUGAUCAAGUAAAACCUGACCAUCAGUUUCCUUCAUCUGGUCAAGCUUCCUCUUUCAUGUUUGUAGCAUAGUCAUGUGCGAGCCGGUGCAACUGUUUAUUCUCAUGCUUGAGCCCUCUAAUCUCCUGUUUGAGACUCAUCACUUCGGCCGCCAAUGAUUUCAACUUGGCGGGUUCGAGCAAAUAUAGGCGUUGGGCCAUAUUAGACACAGAACCUGCACACUGAACACUGAGAGCCAGUGAAUCCUUAACAGCUAACUCAUCAGACCGUUUGGAAAGUAGUCUGUUAUCUUUGGGAGUGAGAAGGUUCCUGGCCACCACCGCAGCGGUCAUAUCAUUCUUCAUCACGGAAUCCCCAACGGUAAGAGGACCAGUAGGGGAGACGAAGGAUGGGCGCCAUAUGUUGUCUGGAGAAGGCGGGGCUGCCUCUUCAACAAGGUUCAAGUCAAAACGACGGUCGGAGGGGCCAGACAUUUUCAAAGGGUAUUGAAGAGAGAAGAGGUCGGACAAAUCAAGAUCUUAGAAGUGCAAGAAUGGAGCUUCUACUGGUGGAGAUUCAAGUGUGCUUUGGAACUUAAUGCCAGCCCCUAUAAAAAGCUGCACUCGACGGAGCUUCAGACAUCGAAGAGGCGCCUGCUCAGAAAUCGAAGAGGCGUUUGCUUUCUCAAAAGCUGGGCUGCUUAGAGACCACGAGGGUUGAUCUCAUAAAUCGAAGAGGUGUCUGCUUUCUCAAAAGUUGGGCUGCUCAAAGACCACGAAAGCCGAUAUCAGAAAUCGAAGAGGCGCUCGCUUCCUCAAAAGCUGGGCUCCUCAGAGACCACGAGGGCCGAUCUCAGAAAUCGAAGAGGCACCUACUUUUCCAGCCUUGUCAGCACCUGUCACACGCACACUCAACUUUGCGGAAAUUAUGGGUAUUCUGUUGAAGACUUCUGGGGAAGUAGAAAACACAUGAAUCUUACUGUCCAAUCACCCACUUCCCACACGCAGCAAUAGCUCAUGGGUACCACAGAUAACUUUGCCAAAGUUCUCUGCCAAAGUUGAGCACGUGAAGCUUGCAGCUCCCACUACAUCGCUCUGACCAAUAAGGGUAAAAGAAUAGCAAAGAAACAGCACUAACAAAGUUUAGACCCAUAAAUUUUGAAGGUCUAGCUACCAUAUUAUUACCCACAAGGGUAAAGGAACAGUACCACUGUUGGAUAAUUGGAAAGUCCCUGUGUGUCAACCUCUGUGCCUCGUGGCAAGGUAGACUAGCAAACAUGCCCAACCUUUACUCACAUUCGAGAAAACACUCCCAAUAAGAUUGCUUGCUCCAAAAUCGAAGAGGCACCGUCCUCCGAAUCUCGAGAGCCAGACUCCCAACAUGACUACUUUCUCAAAAAUCGAAGAGAGGGUAAAGGAAACAGUACCAUUGCUGGAUAAUUGGAAAGUCCCUGUGUGUCAACCUCUGUGCUUCGUGGCAAGGUAGACUAGCAAACAUGCCCAACCUUUACUCUCACAUUCGAGAAAAACACUCCCAACAAGAUUGCUUGCUCCCAAAAUCGAAGAGGCACCGCCCUCCGAAUCUCGAGAGCCAGACUCCCAACAUGAUUACUUUCUCAAAAAUCGAAGAGACACUGCUCCCCGAAUCUCGAGAGCCAGACCCCCACCCCCAACAUGAUUGCUUUCUCAAAAAUCGAAGAGGCAUCGUUCUCCCGAAUCAAUCGAAGAGGCGCUCGCUUUCUCUCAAAAGCUGGGCUGCUCAGAGACCACGAGGGCCAAUCUCAGAAAUCGAAGAGGCACCUUCUUUUUCUAGCCUUGUCAGCACCUGUCACACGCACACUUAGCUUUUGCGGAAAUUAUGGGCAUUCUGUCGAAGACUUCUGGUGAAGUAGAAAGCACAUGAAUCUUACUGUUCAAUCACCCACUUCCCACACGCAACAAUAGCUCAGGGGUACCACAGAUAACUUUGUCAAAGUCUCUGCCAAAGUUGAGCACGUGAAGCUUGCAGCUCCCACUACAUCGCUCUGACCAAUAAGGGUAAAAGAAUAGCAAAGAAACAGCACUAACAAAGUUUAGACCCAUAAAUUUUGAAGGUCUAGCUACCAUAUUAUUACCCACAAGGGUAAAGGAACAGUACCAUUGCUGGAUAAUUGGAAAGUCCCUGUGUGUCAACCUCCGUGCUUCGUGGCAAGGUAGACUAGCAAACAUGCCCAACCUUUACUCACAUCCGAGAAAACACUCCCAACAAGAUUGCUUACUCCAAAAUCGAAGAGGCACCGCCUUCCGAAUCUCGAGAGCCAGACUCCCAACAUGAUUACUUUCUCAAAAAUCGAAGAGACACUGCUCCCCGAAUCUCGAGAGCCAGACCCCCACCAUGAUUGCUUUCUCAAAAAUCGAAGAAGCAUCGUUCUCCGAAUCUCGAGAGCCAGAUACCACAUACCACUUUUUCAAAGUGCUCUGACAGAGUUAAAACAUGUGAAGCUGGCAGCUCCCACUACCGUGCUAUGACCAAGCAGGGUAAAGGAAUAGCAUUACUACUUGUUGUUAGGGAGACUCCUAUAUAUGUCGACCUCCAUCCCCAACGGACAGGCAGACCUGCAAAAAUGCUCAACCCUUCCUCAUAUCUGAGAGGGCACUCCCAACGAAGCCUUUCGAAAUAUUCAGCUUUCUUUCCCCCCGAUAAUACCUUUGCAAACAAGCUAUACUAGAGCAAGAAUAUCUCAUAUCAUCAGGGUUAAAAGCAAGAGUAUCCCAUAUCAUGCUUUUUCCCUGUCUUUUCCUUUGGCCUUGUUUUUACCUGCAAGACAAGGAGAAAGAGAGCAAUCAGUCAGCACUUGAAAUCAAGCUUCCAGCCAGGAACUGACAGCCUGGAACCCCUUACCUGAUUACUUACCUGGCAUUGCUCUCGAGUACUCAUCUUCAACAUCUUAUGUUGCCAGGGAAGAUACCGCAUCUGCUUGAGGAACAGAUAGGGCAAGUGCGAAGGAUACAAGGAAGCAUGUGGAGACAAGCGUAACAGCACACGUGCCGAUCCAUCCAUUACUCUGUCAAAAGCAAAAGUAUCCCAUAUCAGCAGGGCCGAACGUACUCUAGAUUUGAUGGACUUGUUUUGACCCUCAAAUUCUUCAGUCGGCCUUAUACUCUGGAGGAAACCAGAAAACCCUCCAGCUCAGUUCAAGAAUAAGCCUGUGGAAAGUUACUUCUUCAAAAGCAAAAGUAUAUCCCAUAUCAUCUCUUCUCAUUUUUCUUCUCUUUAUCCUUCAUGCUGCUGCAAGAUGGGGAGAAGGUGAACAAUCAGCCGGAGCUCUGAUUGCUUACCUUGUCUGUCACCUCUUUCAGCAAAUCCCCUAGCUCGGCGACUUGGGGGACUCCUACUACAUGGUUUGUAUCGCGCUUGACCAAGCCUGAAACUACAAGUAAGCUUCAAGUGAAAUUGAUACAUUACCUAGUGCAUCUCCACCAGUUAAAGAUACCACCCCUGGAUGGAGGAAGAGUACUUCCAGAGAGCUGCCACAUCUACCUAUGAGACAGAUAAGGCAAGUCAAGAUGAUACCACACUCCGAUACUUAGAAGUUUCGUGAUUACGAGAUCAUUCUCCCACAAUAUUUCCUAAUGUCAUUUGUACUCACUAAAGGAGAGCUUGAACCUAUGUACUUGUGUAAACCCUUCACAAUUAAUGAGAACUCUUCUAUUCCGUGGACGUAGCCAAUCUGGGUGAACCACGUACAUCUUGUGUUUGCUUUCCUAUCUCUAUCCAUUUAUAUACUUAUCCACACUAAUGACCGGAGCAAUUUAGCGAAGAUCACAAAAAGCGACCGUUUUCGCUACCUAGGAUCUAUCUUACAAGAGAACGGAGAAUUAGAUGGAGAUCUCAACCAUAGAAUACGAGCUGGAUGGAUGAAGUGUAAGAGUGCAUCCAGCAUGUUGUGUGACCGUCGUAGGCCACUGAAGCUCAAGGGAAAAUUUUAUAAGACGGCAAUAAGGCCAGCGAUAUUGUAUGGCACAGAAUGUUGGGCGGUGAAACAUCAACACGUACACAAAAUGGGUGUAGCAGAGAUGAGGAUGCUUCGUGGGAUGUGUGGGCACACGAGAAAGGAUAAGAUUGAGAAUGAGGAUAUCCGAGGUAAAGUAGGAGUAGCCGAAAUUGAAGGAAAGAUGAGAGAAAUCGGUUUUGGUGAUUUGGACAUGUGCAAAGAAGGCCGACUGACGCUCUGGUUCGAAGAUGUGACUACGGGACAGAGGUUCAGGGCCGAAGGGGUAGAGGAAGACCUAGGAAAACUUUGGAAGAGACUCUAAGAAAAGGCUUAGAGUACUUGGAUCUAACGGAGGACAUGACACAAAACCAAGCGCAAUGGCGUUCUAGGAUUCAUAUAGCCGACCCCACUUAGUGGGAAAAGGCUUUGUUGUUGUUGUUGUUGUUGUUGUUGAAGACUGAUGAGGGGAUAUACGACUCACAAACAACUGAGACUGUCCUUUUUUUUUUCUUCUUUUUUUCAUAUCAACAAACACACAAAUUCUUAUAUUUCCGAAAGCACUUGCAUCCCAACAUAAAAACUUAAAUAAUACAUGAAUCAUCGAUGUUUUGCUUUGCAAACAGCCAAGGGGAUGGGAACUAAAAUAAAUUUCGUGACCAAGAACCUCUUAAAAACCAAGCUUGAAAGCAUAAAAACAAAGCUUUCAAUCUUUCUGUGCAAAUUAAUAUCAUAAUCAAUUCAACCACAUUUCCGCAAUCCAAAGCUUCAAACUUCAUACAAAAAUACAAUAAUUUUUAGAAUUUCACCCAAACAUAAAGAGAAUAAUAUUGUUAGGUGCGGAGAAGAAAAAACCAGGGAAAAAUGGAAGAUGGAUUUUAGCCUGGAAAAGCAAUUCACAGCAACAAUAAAAAGGUGAAAUUAAAAACUCAAUUGAAUCAAAUGAAGAAUUUUCUAGAGUGCAAACAAUUAGUGUUAUCAGCAAGAAGUUUCAGACCAUAAAAUGCAAAAGCAUGUGCCCAAAAUGCAAUCCUAUAAAACAUGAAACAGCAGCCAUAAGAUAAUCGGAAAUUUUCUAAUAAAAUGAACCGAAGACCAACUUUGAAUAAUUGGUAACGAUGAGGCUUUGACAUUGAUAGAGUGUGUAUGAGAGAGAGAGAGAGAGAGAGAGAGAGAGAUGGAAAUAGAGUUAGAAUUAGACCAAUGCAGAAAUCAACCUUAAGAUUCCCUCUGGGUCAAAUGGUUGCACCAUUGAUGAGAAACAGUCGGUCGGUAGAGGUUGAUAGUAGGAGAACUAACAUUGCAUUCCUGAAACACAAAGGAUUAACCUUUUUCAAUUAUCAUCAGUGAAUGCACUAAUACAGGACUUAAAUUCUGAUAUAUUCAAUAAUCUAGUUGUAAGAACUAUAUCACAGAUCAAAGAUAUGCCAGUAAGUUACCAAUACUCCAACAAUCGAACUAAGUGACAAAACUACAAACACGAAUAUGAAACCAAUGGAAAACAUACCUGCAGAACUUGAACUCGAAGAAGCCAUAGCAGCUUCACAACCAAGCAAUCUUCUCCUCUUUAGCAAAACUAGAAAACUCUCUGAAUAAUAGGUAUUCAAUACAAGAUGAGCCGUGUCUUUGCAAGAGCAGUGAUUGAGGUUAUAUACAACAUUAAUCCAACUCAUUCUCCUAUUAGAAUUAGUGUUGAACUCUAAAACAAAACCUUUUCACACAAUGAGUGUACAAGAUCAAUUAGUGUAGGAUCCGAAACCUUUUCCAGAGGAACACUAAAAGCACUCAUAAUCCUACAAGGACGAGGAUUCAACCAAACACCUUAUCAAGACUUUUCCAUUCAAGAAUUCAUCCAAUAUUAUAGCUAAUCCUCAAACAUGUUUCAUACUCAUAUUCCAACAUUCUCCCACUUGAGUAUGAAGACAUAAUGAUUAACUAAAUGAAUGAUGGAAGUGAUCACUAAGUCUAAUCAUAAGGCUCGCAAUUUCGUAUUCAAACUCACCUAUGCAAUUCAAAAUAUGGAACUCUUGAAUUCUAUCUGCACAAUUUCAGAUUUCAUCCAAGAAUUACAACAUAUCCAAGUUUGCAUGUUGUAACUGUACGAAUCAAUAAUCACAGUAAUGCCAAUACUCAUUACUCCCACUGAUUUAUGCCAAUUUUAACCCAAUCACAGUUAAAAUCUCAGCAAACAAUCAAAACAACAACCAUUCAAAACAGAACAGUACUCUAAAUAGUUCCAAAGUAUACCUCAGCAAAAUCACAAACUGAUUCACUAGCAAACUCAAACUAUUCUUAUUUCAAUACUAGCUUUCUGAAACAAUCAAUCACUAAAACGAAAAAAAAUUGAAUACUGAUGAAAACAAAAAUAAAAGUCAAGCUGGAAAAUUAGCUAGAUAAAGAUACCAGCUUGUCACAACUAAUUGAACUCGAGAAAUCUUCAAUUGCGGCAACAUAUAACCACUGCAGCCUUAAAAUAAUCCCAAAACCUGAUCACUGCUCACUCCCACUUAUCAAAAGAUUCUAACACUCCCAUUUUAGUAACAUGUGCCUUAAACGCAUUGUUUGGCAAGGCUUUAGUAAGAGGAUCAGCAAUCAUCUUUUCAGUAGGCAAAUAUAGAAUUUCGAUCUCUCCUUUUUUCACCAUUUCUCUGACUUUAAGAAACUUCACAUCCAUUAGUCUUGACGCUGAGGUUCUCUUAUUGUUCUUGGAGAAAAACACUGCAGCAUUAUUGUCACAAAACAUCUUUAAAGGCCUUUUAACUGAGUCAACAAUUCUCAUCUCAGCCACAAAGUUUCUCAACCAUACUGCUUGUUUCAUUCCUUCAAAACACGCAACGAAUUCAACUUCCAUUGUAGAAGUAGACACUAUUGUUUGCUUAGCACUUUUCCAGGAGAUAGCACCAUCAUUUAGCAUAAAGAUGUAUCCCCCAGUUGAUUUCCUCUCAUCUACGUCCCCAGCAAGAUCUGAAUCUGUAGACCCAACCAAUUCUAAGGUAUCAUCUCUGCCAUAAACUAAUUGAUAAGCUUUUGUUCUCUGCAUGUAUCGUAAUACUUUCUUUGCAGCCACCCAAUGAGAUUCUCCUGGAUUUGUUUGAAACCUUCCUAACAUUCCAACAAUGAAUGCUAAGUCAGGCCUCGUACAAAUAUUAGCAUACAUAAUGCUUCCAACUAAUGAGGCAUAAGGCUUCAACUUCAUCAAUUCGACCUCAUUCUCAUUCUUGGGACAUUGAUCUCUAGAAAACUUGUCACCUUUAUUAACUGGAAUUUGCCUUAUUGCAUUUCUCCAUAUUAAAUCUGUUCAAUACCCUUUCAAUGUAUCCCUUUUGAGACAGCCCCAGAAGCUUUCUUUUUCUGUCUCUUGUUAUUUCAAUCCCCAGAACAUAAUGUGCUUCCCCUAAAUCCUUCAUUUCAAAAUUGGUACUCAGAACAGUCUUCGUCUCUCGAAGUAAUUGCAUAUCGGAACUUGCAAGUAGAAUAUCAUCAACGUAUAGGACCAGAAAAAUGAACUUUGAUCCUUUGUGUUUUAAAUAUAUGCAAUCAUCCAUCUUGUUCUCAACAAAACCAUGAGCAGUAACUACCUGAUCAAAUUUGAGGAACCACUGCCUAGAUGCUUGUUUAAGUCCAUAAAUUGACUUGUUUAGCUUGCAGACCAUAUUAUCUUUCCCCUUUCAGAAAAUCCAGGAGGUUGGACCAUGUAUAUGUCUUCCUCUAAAUCACCAUUCAGAAAGGCGGUUUUAACAUCCAUCUGGUGUAGCUCUAGAUCAAAAUGAAAUGUCAAAGCCAUGAUGAUCCUCAUAGAAUCUUUGGAAGAAACAGGUGAAAACGUGUCAUUGUAAUCAAUCCCUUCUCUCUGAGUAAAGCCUUUGGCUACUAACUGAGCCUUGUAUCUCUCUAUGCUCCCUGCAGCAUCCCUUUUAGUUUUGUAGACCCACUUGCAACCUAUUGGUUUAGCAUUUGAAUUGGAGUUCACAAGGGUCCAUACUUUGUUCUUGGCCAUGGAAUCUAGCUCUUCCAUCAUCGCUUUCUUCCAUAAUGCAGCUUGAGAACAUUGAAUUGCUUGUUGAUAAGUGGCUGGAUCAUCUAUAUCACCUAUGUCGAAUUCUGCCUCUUGGAGAUAGACAUAAUCGGUUGAAAUUGCAGGUUUCUUGGCUCUACUUGAUUUCCUCAGAUUCAAUUGAUCAUUUACUGGACAUGUAUCUUUCUCAAUGGGAGAACUUGGAGCACUUAGGGGUAUAUUUCUUGCAGAAAAGGUAUCUCCAUGUUCAUUUUGUAUUUCAGCAACUAUUUCAUGUGUCAUCUCUUCAUCAAGAUCUUCUUCCUCUGUCUGAUUUCUAGGCAACACUGAAAUAUGGUUGUAGGCCAUUGGAACCGAGCCAACGAGUUGUUCUGAUUCUUCAAACUCAAAAGUGUCAUGCACUAAGUCUGAUACAUCUUGGUCUUCUAAGAAAACUGCAUUGUAAGUCUCUUGAAUUCUUGUCUGUGCUCGAGGACAAUAAAAUUUAAAACCCUUCGAUUUCUCUGAAUAUCCCACAAAGUAGCAUGAACUGGUUCUAGAAUCGAGCUUCCUUUCAUUUGGGUUGUAAAACCUAGCUUCUGCUUUGCAACCCCACACAUGAAAAUGAUGAAAACUUGGUGUUCUGCCAGUCCAUAGCUCAAAAGGUGUUUUUGGCACUGAUUUUGUAGGCACUCGGUUCAACACAUAGUUUGAUGUCCUCAAUGCUUCGCCCCACAGAAAACCAGGCAGCUUAGAUCUUGAAAUGAGACUUCUAACCAUUCCCAUCAAGGUUCGGUUUCUUCUCUCAGCCACUCCAUUCUGUUGGGGUUUUCCUGGAGUAGUAUACUGAGCCACAAUGCCUUGUAACUCAAGAAAUCGUGCAAACGGACCCUUCUGUUGCCCUGCUUCUGUGUGCCUGCCAAAAUAUUCUCCUCCCCUAUCUGAUCUAACAAUCUUAAUUUCAAGAUUUAGUUGUUUUUCUACUUCACAUUUAAAAACUUUAAAACACUCAAUGACUGCUGACUUUUCUUUUAUUAGAAAAAUGGAACCAUGUCUGGAGUAGUCAUCUAUAAAACUCACAAAAUAUGAAUUUCCACAAAUGGUUUUGACAGGAAAAGGUCCACAAACAUCUGUGUGUAUGAUCUCAAGUAAAUUUUUACUUCUAUUUGCAUCCAAUUUCCUAACAUUGGUGGUUUUACCUUUCAUACAAUCAAUGCAAUCAGAUGCAUCAUUAAAAUCUAAUGCAGGUAUAAAGUUUAACUUUGACAAUUGCAUGAUCCUAUCUUUUGAAAUGUGUCCUAGUCUUUUGUGCCACAACAUAUAGGAAUUGUCAAAGUUAUGCAUUCUUUUGGCAGUUGUGUUCAAAAUACUUAAUUCAAUAUUUAAUACCGUGCACUGCAUUUUCCACAAAUGAUCAUGCAAAAUAGCCUUUCCUAUUAGAGACCCUCUACUGAAAAAUUUCAUGCAUUCUUUGUUACCUAUGAAGGUGACACCUUCAUUUACUAACCUAGAUGCAGAUAUUAGAUUUCUCCUCAUUGCAGGCACAUAUAACACAUUUGACAAUUCUAACACAAAACCAAAAGACAAUUUGAGUUUUACCUUUCCUAUGGACUCAACUAUGACUCUGGUUCCUUCACCAACAUAAACAUUAUAUGCAUUUGCUUGUUUCUGUUUUUCAAAACCAUGCAGUGAAUUUGUUAUAUGCACAGAUGCACCAGUAUCAAACCACCAAGAAUUUGCAGGAAUUUCAAUGAGAUUUGAUUCCUCACAGACAUAUACAUUAGUCCUACCCUUAGCCCUCAGCCAUUCCUUGAAUAUUUCACAAUCCUUUCUAUAAUGACCUUUAGUUUUGCAAUGGUGACACCUAACCUUUUCUAUGUUUUUACUUUUGACCUUAAAAUUGUUAGAUUUAGAGGAGUUGAAAUUCUUAGCAGGCACAUAAGAUUUAUCAAGGUGUUUGGGUUUAGAAGUAUUACCAAAAUUUGCAUUGAAGUCUUUCUUUCGAGAUGUCUGCACAAAAUUGACAGCCUCAACUUCUUUUCCUCUAUCCAUCUUCUGUCGAUUUUCCUCUUGAACACACUGAGAUAUAAGCUCAUCCACUGACCAUGACUUAUCUUGAGUGUUGUAGGAGACUUUCAGUUGACUGAACUUCAAAGGAAGUGCUUGCAGGAUCAUGAACACCAGCUGUUUCUCACAAAUAUUCAUAUCUAAUGAAUUGAGUUUUUCAGCCGCAUCUGUCAUCUUCAUAAUAUGAUCUCUUAUUGAACCACCCUCUUCAAACUUGUAAGUUGUGAGCAGAGUCAUGUACUGAGCAAUUUCAGCCUUCUGUGAUUCCUUGAACUUAUUCUCAAUAGCUUUGAAAUAAUCUUUUGCAAGAUCACACCUUUUGAUGCCUCCUCGCACGGUGUCCGUCAUCCCACUUUCCAAAAUUGACAAUGCCACUUUAUUCGCUCUUGUCCAUCUUUCAAACUCUAACUUAUCAGCCUUUGAACUCUUAUCAGUAAGAGGUGCAGGCUGUGGUGUAUCCAGUGCUAUGUCAUAUUCAUUCAGUGUCAAAAGCAAUUCAAUUUCCCUUCUCCACUUUCUGUAAUUACUUCCACCCGUGAGUAUUGGCACAGCAGCCAAAUUCAUUGUUUUUAGUGAAACUGCAGAAGAUAACAAUGAAAUCAACACUUUGAAUCUUUUAGGAUUCAUGAUUUCUAUCUAUUUCACCAUGUAAUCCUCAUCAUGAGUCAAUUUUGUCAUACAUGGUUUCAAACUUUGAUAAAGAUAACCAUAUAUAGAGUAAACAACUCACAGAAGAUUGCAUUCAAGAAUCAUGUUCAAAAGGGAUGAUGUUCAUAUAUCACACCACAUGAAUCGAAUAUCAAAAUUCAAUAAACCCAAUAUAAAACAGCAGCGGAAACUCAAAAAUAAUUGAUUCAGUUUAUCCAUUUAGAUGAUUUUGAUUCGAAUUGGCGAGAUGCUAGCAAAUUCUCUAAUUAUAAGCAUAUAUACGGUAUUCUUUAGUUCAAAUAAUUUCUUACACUAAUUUCAAGUUUUAAAAUUGUAGACAUACCUUUUGGAACAAUCAAUGAAUGCAAUUGGCAUGAGAAGGAUAAAAAGGACGAAAAUUCCUUAAAUCGCUAUAAACCCAGAAACUGGGAAAAGGAAAAGAGCUAAGGGAGAGGAAAAGUCGCAAAACCCAGCAAACAUAAGGGUAAGACCCCUUUUUUUUUUUUUUUUUUUUUUUUUUUUUUUUAAUAAAACGGUGUCGUUUGCUAUUGUUAUUUUCAAAACAGGUUAUGAUUCUGGGUUUGGUAAUUAUAGGUUCUUGUCCAGAUUGUUGUGCAAAAAAAAAAAAUAAUAAUUCGAACUUAAUGGCAAUUAUCUCUCCCAAGCUCUAAUACCACAUGUAAGAACUAUAUCACAGAUCAAAGAUAUGCCAGUAAGUUACCAAUACUCCAACAAUCGAACUAAGUGACAAAACUACAAACACGAAUAUGAAACCAGUGGAAAACAUACCUGCAGAACUUGAACUCGAAGAAGCCAUAGCAGGUUCACAACCAAGCAAUCUUCUCCUCUUUAGCAAAACUAGAAAACUCUCUGAAUAAUAGGUAUUCAAUACAAGAUGAGCCGUGUCUUUGCAAGAGCAGUGAUUGAGGUUAUAUACAACAUUAAUCCAACUCAUUCUCCUAUUAGAAUUAGUGUUGAACUCUAAAACAAAACCUUUUCACACAAUGAGUGUACAAGAUCAAUUAGUGUAGGAUCCGAAACCUUUUCCAGAGGAACACUAAAAGCACUCAUAAUCCUACAAGGACGAGGAUUCAACCAAACACCUUAUCAAGACUUUUCCAUUCAAGAAUUCAUCCAAUAUUAUAGCUAAUCCUCAAACAUGUUUCAUACUCAUAUUCCAACACUAGUUACCAGAGAAUGACUUUUAUCCUUCUAUAAACAGGCAGUUGAUAAAGGUGACUCUGGCCCAAUAUAACUUGACUCAUAAACUGGAAACUUUGAGGCUUCAAACUCUGAGCCAAAAGUUGAAGCUUCUCACUCAACAAACAAAAAUUACAAAUCCAAAACUAAAAAGAAUCAGAAACAAACUAAAACAUGGGAUUGGUGAAGGCCAUACCUUCGAAAGCAUAGACGCAGACAGCUCUUCGAGAGCGAUCCCAACUCCGGGGUCGGAGGCGGAAACAGAGGCCAAUAUCCUCAAGAUUUUGCGUUGACGAUUGUGAGAUCGGGAUAAAACGGUCGAAACCAAAUUUGCAAGUUUUGAAAAAACGUUAAGGAAUCUGGGUUUCAAUGAAUAAGGAGGUUGCAAAUAAAAUCCCCAAAGAAACAAAAAAAAGGUCUCCCAUGUCGGUAUUUUGUGAGAGAAAAAGCGCAAGAUUCGAGAGCGAGUUCAACAGCAGCAGAAGCACAGAUUUGUGAGAAAGAAGAAAUCGAAGGAAAAAUCGAGAAGAUGCAAGAGAGGCUUGAGGCAAGCAUGGACAAAUGGGUAAUCUUACGUGUAAAGAGGAGAAAGAACGGAGCAGGAAAGCUGUUUGACAAGGCAAUAUCGCUAAUUUAAUUCUGGUGAGCAACGCUUUUCCACCAAGUGGAUGGCAAGGGCAAAAACACCUUUUUACUGUGAAAAAGACGCAAAAACAAAAUGGCACAUAAAAAAGCAUUCAGAGGGCAUUUUCGUCCGUUUACUGCUGGUGAACAGUGUUUUUUUGCUUGAGUUUUAGUAUAGGUUCAACUAAAAAUUGUUAUCCGCGUGAUUAGAAACUGUUAAAAAAAAUUAUCAUAGACUAUUAAUAUUAUUUACAUUAAAAAUGUUACACGAUUUUAACAAACAAAAAAUUUAAUCUAUACAGUAUACACACAAACAAUUGUAGAACUUUUGUCUUUACAUAAAAAAAAUAAAAAAAAUCUAAGUUAUUCACUGAAGCACCUAAAGUUUCUUGAUUGUGAAGAAAGCAACCUCAGCAAGGAAAAAUAUGAAAUAUUAAAAUACAUGCAAUUAAUUUAUACAUCAACGGGCUUAUAUUACAAAAAAAUAAGGAUAAAGUAUUGCUACCUAGUCUUUUUUUUUUUGGAGGAAAAUAAUCUGAUUUUAUACCAAUUAGAGAGAACUUUUUUUCAGCAAUUUAAUAGUCUAAUAAAUUGAUUAUACAAAAAAUCCAUUAAAAAAACCUAAAAACAAUAAACUAUUCACUAAUUUUUCAUACGAAAUAGAACAAAGCUAUAGAAUAUACCUUUUCAUAGUGAGUAUUGUGAAAAAUACAACAUAGCUUGAGACAAUGGUAAUUAACGUGUUUGGAAAAGUCUACCUGCGUGGUGGUGUAAUCGUCACAUAGAUAAACUUCAAUGCCAAUUGAUUGAACUAAGUUUUUUUUUUUUAACAAACAAUAUUAUCUACACUAAAGAGAAAGGUAAGCUUUAGCCUCACAACAAGAGAAGCCUUGCGCAGAGCUCUACCUCUAACAACUCAAUUAUAUCUUGAAAUCGGCUAAGUUGGUAUUGUAACACGGUAAGGUUGGGUAGAUUUUAGAUCCAAAUGUCACCAAACAAUAUUCUGCAGAAUGGCAGUGUUCUGUCUAGAUUGUCCAUGGCACGGACGUAAACUGGAUGAUAACGCAGGGCAACACUGGUACUAUACCCUAAACAUCCACAAGCUAUAAACAAAUAGUUAAAGUUCAUAUGCACCAAGGGUACUAAAACUCAACCCAUUGUUUAGUAAGAAGAACCACAAAAACAAAUUAGUAAAAACCGAAAUGGUUAUCAGAUGGACACAAAGGUUUUUGUACUACGUGAAACUUUGCGUCGAGAAAUUGAAACAACUAUCAGGAGACAGUUAUACGGAUUUCCUACAAUUCUAUAAAUAAUGUAUUCUUUCACCAUUGUUUCAAUUCAAACAAAAAUUAAAGAACAGAAAAGCUAGAAGCAGGAAAAUUGCAACUGAUCAAUAUUUUCCAAACAAAACCAACCUGCAAUGUCCUAGUUGCAAAUUCAACUCCAAUGGUGGACUUAGACUCCAAAGAAAACUCAUUCCUCGUAAACCUCGAAAGAAUGUUCGAUUUUCCAACACCCGAAUCUCCAAUCAAUACAAUCUUGAAGAGGUAAUCGUAUUCGUGAUCCACCUUGUACGCCAUACGUUCUACUCCUCACACACACACCCCCACAACACCUGCCCAGAUCCAGAAUUCACCAAACAAAAAGCUGUUAGCAGUCAAAAAACCAAAAAAAUAAACCCAUUCUCUUGUUUUGACAGAAGGGAUGAGAAAAGUGCUGAUCAGAGAGCAUUUUCUUUACCUACGGUUUCUUUCCAAUGUGAUUUUCCCGAGAAACAAACGGAAAUUGGGUAAUCAUAAAACAAUGACAAUGGCGCGUAGAAUGGUGAUUAACAAAAUAGAGGAUUUUUUGAAUGUUGGGUUUUGUUAUGUUUGCAUUGAAGUUUGUGGAAACAGAGGAGAGGAGAAAAGAAGAAGAAAAGGAUGGCGUUGUACAAAGUUAGAAACAGAACAAUGGAUGAAAAUGCACUUAAACGGCCUUUCACGAGGGAACUGACGCGCCGAAUUCGGAGUCUAUGUAAAGUAAACGACCAUUCAUAAGACAUGACGCAUAAAAUUUAAGCCCAUUCUCAAUAUGGGCUUAGGGCAUAUGUUUGUAACCCACUGAAAAGCUCCAUUAGGGUUUCCUAUCACACACUAUUUAUCUCUCUACACACUUAUGUCAUGUAGUCAUGUUUAAUCAUAUCAGUUGACUAUUGAUUUUAUCAACUUGGGUUACUAAAAAUUAAGAAAUGAGUGCAAUUAUCAUUUCUAACUGUUUUAAAAUGUUAGGAUGAUUCAUAAACAAAUUGGAAGUUCAAAAGAUAAGUCGGAAUGAGCCCCUAAAUUCAAAGGGCAUUUGCCAUGUCUCUCUGUUUUGUGAAUCAUUAAAAGUGACAUUAUUUAUCCUUACAUAUUUUGUCUUUGGUGCACAAAGUGACUACUACUACCUACCACUACAAACCUAACCUCUUACACCACCAUUGUUACCACCACGCCACCACCACGACCAUAACACACAAGCGUCACCACUACCACCACUUACCUCUGUGGCUCAACCACCACACCCCUUAAUCAGCAGCACCACCACCACUAUCACAACCAUUGUCCUAGCCACCGUUGUCAACGUCAUCACACAAAUUAUCAUGUCCAUUUUUGUUAUUAUAUACAAUUAUAUCAUUUUACAUUAAAUUUUACCAAACACGCUUUUACAAUGCUUUUCAUACUCACAACACUUAUAAAAAUACAGUUAUCAAACGCUCAGCUACUUUAUUUUGUAGCUGAUUAUUCUUAAAGCACAACAUAAACAAUUUUUUUUUAAAGCAUAGUACUCCCCAACUGGCCCUAAGUCCACAAAUGAGUCAUCCCAAGCAAAGCCGGUCUUGAGUUUUUUGGUGCCCGGAAAAGAAUCAGAAAGUGCCUUUUCUUAAUACACGGGUAUAUAUUAAAAAUAAAUAUUUAAAAAGAGUGGGCCAAACCCUUCAUACAUAUUAUAUUACUCAAGUGCAAAGGUAAACGUUCAUAGCUAAUAAGGAUAAAACUGUUAAAAGCAUAGUUAGUUAGAAUUGUUAUAAGGUGGUUAUGAUAGCUUGUAAUUAGUGAAUGUUUGUUUGGGUAUUUUUGUAAUUAGCUGGUUAGCUAAGACUAGUGAGUCACUAGUAUAUAUAUGUACAUACCAUUGUAUAAUUUUAUCUUGAUGAAAUGAAAAGAUAACAUUUCUAAUAUGGUAUCACCCACCUAAAAGUCUCACGACAUUUUCGAUCCUAUUUUUCCCGCCUCUCUCUCUGCAUCGUCUCCUAGGGUUUGCUUCUUCUUCUCCGAUCAAUCGAUCGCUUCAACACUCUUGCUUCUUCUUCUUCAUGCUAUGACGAGCUCUGCAGCUUAGUCUUCUUCCGCUUCAGAUUCUUCUAUUCAUCCAAUUCCUGCUGCUCUUUCUAACCCUAAUUCUGCAAUUACGAUCCAAAACAUUGGAUCCAUGGUUCCAAUCAAGCUUACAACGACGAACUACCUGACCUGGAGUGCUUUAUUCACUCCGAUUUUCCGCCGGUACAAUCUUACCAGAUUAAUUGACUGCACAAUGGCUGCUCCGUCGAAAUUCCUUCUCGAUGCAUCUGGAAAUUGCACCGCCACUCUGAAUCCCCAAUAUGUUGCGUGGUAUGAGAAUGAUCAGAACAUCUUGAUCUAGAUCAACUCUACGCUCUCGGAUGCAUUCUUUACACUGUUGGUGUUAAUUCGGCUCGGGAGUUAUGGUCCAAGUCAUGUAUUUCUCUUUCUAGUGUUUUAAAUAAAACUGUCUGCUCCAGCUGUGCUCUAGGCAAGUCUUCAAAAUUACCUUUUGUUUCUGUUUCCUGUACCUCCAAUAAACCUCUGGAAUUGUUACACACUGAUGUAUGGGGUCCAGCCCCUCUUCUUUCUAUCAAUGGACAUCGUUACUACAUCAUUUUUGUUGAUGAUUAUACCAAAUACACUUGGUUCUUUCCUCUUGCAUCCAAGUCUGAUGUCUUUGACACAUUUGUCAAAUUUAAAGCUCCCGUGGAAAAUCUACUCAGUUCUAAAAUAGUUACUAUAAGAUCUGAUUCUGGUGGAGAGUUUCUUAGUCUCAAGCUCAUCAAUUAUCUGCAAUUACAUGGCAUUUCACAUCAGUUAAGUUGCCCUCACACGCCUGAACAGAAUGGCUGUGCUGAACGCAAACAUCGGCAUCUAGUUGAAACUGCUAGAACUUUUCUAGCAGCCUCUCAAGUUCCUAAGCUCUAUUGGGAUGAUGAUUUUGCCACGGCUAUCUAUCUGAUUAAUAGAAUGCCAACAGCUACCAAGUAUUCUCCUUGGGAAUUACUCUUUCACAAACCUCCGGAUUAUUCCUCUCUGAAAGUGUUUGGCUGCAAAUGUUUUCCUUGGUUGAAGCCUUACAUUUCCUCUAAACUUGAUCCAAAGAGCAAAGUAUGUGUCUUUUUGGGUUAUAGUUUGAAUCACAAUGGUUAUAAAUGUCUCGAUCCUCAUACUGGCAGAGUAUAUCUUUCACGGCAUGUUAUUUUUUAUGAAGUCACUUUUCCUUUUGCUCAACAAGACUUAUCUCAGUCUCUCCCAUCUAGUUCUAGUUCUUCUAUACUGAGGAAUCAUCACACCAUUCCCACAACCUUAACUUUUCCCACUAUAUCUUCACCUUUACCAUCUCAUUCCCUUACUGCACCUAGUUCCCUUAUUGCAUCUAGUUCUCUUGCUGCACCUAUUUCCUCUUCCUCAUCUCCUCACCUUAUUUCUCAUCCCAUCUCUGCCCCUAAUCCACUUGCCGCACCCUCCAUACCUCAAAACACUCAUGCCAUGCAAACUCGUUCCAAAUCCAGUAUUGUCAAACUAAAGGUUUUUUUAGCAACCAAACAUCCCAUUUCCUCUGAGAUGUCACUGGACUAUAUACCAUCCACUUAUCUUCAAGCCUCCAAACACUCUCACUGGAGGCAAGCUAUGCAGGAAGAAUUUAAUGCUCUUAUUCAAACUGGCACUUGGUCUUUGGUCCCUUCUCAUUCUUCUCAGAAUUUGGUUGGUGCAAAAUGGGUAUUCAGAAAUAAACGCAAGCCUGAUGGUACCAUUGACAGGUACAAAGCAAGGCUUGUUGCCAAAAGAUUUCAUCAGCAACAAGGUUUGGACUACACUGAAACAUUUAGUCCAGUUGCAAAGCCGGUUACCAUUCGGCUUCUUCUCACUUUGGCUGCCAAGUUUGAUUGGUUCCUCAAUCAACUUGAUAUUAGCAAUGCAUUUUUGCAUGGUAAUCUCACUGAAUCUGUGUUUAUGGUACAACCACCAGGAUUUGAAGACCUUACAAUGCCUUCUCAUGUUUAUCAUUUGCAUAAGUCUUUGUAUGGUUUGAAGCAAGCCCUCAGGGCUUGGUAUGAGAAAUUAACAACUGCCUUAAAGUCUCUCGAUUUCUCUGGUUCUCAGAAUGACUAUUCUCUAUUUGUAAAACGGGAACCAGCUCUGGUCUUCAUUCUAAUUUUGUUGAUGACAUUAUUGUCACUGGUCCAAGUUCCCAUCUUUGCCAAGAGGUUAUAACUCAACUCGGUGUCUUAUUUCCUGUCAAAGAUCUUGGCCCCCUUUAUUACUUUCUUGGCAUUGAAGUAACAAGAUCAUCCUCGGGGAUAUUGCUUUCUCAGACCAAAUAUAUUCUUGAUCUCCUCACUAAAGCUCAUAUAGAGGGUUCCAAGCCUUGUGUUACCUCGAUUAGCACCACUAAAUUGGAUCAUAAAUCUCCUUUGCUUGAUAAUCCUGAAGAAUAUCGAUCUUUGGUUGGUGGUUUGCAGUAUUUAACUUGGACUAGGCCCGACUUAUCUUAUGCAGUGAAUUUGGUCUGUCAAUUCAUGCAUAGUCCUCGGCAAGCACAUUUCCAGGCCGUCAAGCGCAUUCUUCGAUAUCUUAAGGGUUCCUUGCAAAUUGGCUUAUGGUUUCCUAAGUGUUCCAAGUCUCUCACUCUCACUGCCUUCUCCGAUGCAGAUUGGGCAGGUUGCAGUAUUGACAGACGAUCCACUAGUGGUUUUGUAAUUUUUUUGGGAGACAAAGAGUGCAAAGAAACAGCCUACUGUGGCUCGAUCCUCAACUGAGGCUGAAUAUCGAUCUUUUGCAAACACUGCGGCUGAACUCACCUAGAUUUGCAAGUUACUGACUGAUGUUGCUCUUGUUCUUCCCUCUUAUCCACAACUUUGGUGUGAUAAUAUCUCUGCAAUUUCCUUGGCUAAGAACCCUAUUUUUCAUGCACGAACCAAACAUGUGGAGAUAGAUUAUCACUAUAUCCGCGCAAAAAUUGCUCGCCAAUCAAGUGCAAGUUCUUUUUGUCUGCACGGAGGAUCAACUUGCUGACAUUUGUACUAAACCUCUAUCCAAGCCUCGGUUCAUCUUCCUUCGCAACAAACUCUCUCUUCGGUUCCCUCAGUUAGGUUUGCAGGGGGGAUAAUAAGGAUAAAACUGUUAAAAGCACAGUUAGUUAGAAUUGUUAUAAGGUGGUUAUGACAGCUUGUAAUUAGUGAAUGUUUGUUUGGGUAUUUUUGUAAUUAGCUGGUUAGCUAAGACUAGUGAGUCACUAGUAUAUAUAUGUACAUACCAUUGUAUAAUUUUAUCUUGAUGAAAUGAAAAGAUAACAUUUCUAAUAAUAGCCACUUUAAACUAUAAUCAUUAAGUUCAUCUCCAACUGAACGCUGGCCAAAUGGCUUGUUUUAGCCAUCUGAUCCUCCAAGAAAUUAAUAUUUUAAUGAACUGUGCAUGAUCAUAUUCUUACCAUCUCCAACCGAGGGCCAAACAUAAUUUAUUAUUUAAAUUUAAAAACUACAACUUAAAUUAAAAAAACUACAACUAAAAUUUAAUAACUACAAGUAAAAUUUAUAAAAUACAACUUAUAUAUUUCAAGUCAAAUGUGAGAGGUUUUAUUUAGAGUAGCAAAAAAGGAAAUAAGUGGGAGAGGAAGUAGGAGAAACUAAAAAUGUGGAAGUGGGUGGGAGAGGAAGUAUAAAAAUAUAAAAAAAAUGGAAGUGGGUGGGAGUCCCACAUCGGUUGUGAGAAAGAUUUGAGCAAGUUCCAAAGCCUAUAAAAAGAACACCUAACAUUCAAUGAAACAUACUUUCUGGGCCUAUAAUUGAAUAUAUUUUUUUAAAAAUUUUGGCCAACAAAAAAAAAAUUCAAAUAACUGUAAAAAAAACAAAAAAAAGGGCUAGCUAACUUUAGCUAGUUGACAGUUGCUUUUGAAUUUUAGCCCGGCCAGUUGGCCCUUUGACCCUUUUUUAUCUAGUGGGGCCCACAAUCCCUUUGGUCUAGUUCUUGGUUUGAGGCAAUUUUAAGGUCAUUUUCGACCCUCUGACACCUUUUGGUUGAAGAUGACCUAACAGAAAAAAAUUGAACAUUUUAUGAGACUUCUCUCUCCGAAGAGGUCCCAAAUUUAAGUACUAGUAAACGGGUGCAUUUUUACUCACCCACAUUAACUUAGGUGUAUGCUCACCACACAACUCCAAGCUUGCCAAGUGUCCCUUUGCUUUAAUCCUAGUUAACAUUUUCAUUUGUUAUUAAUAUUUUACUAUAAUAAUACAUUAAUAAUCAUCUUAACAUUUAUCUUUGAACUUUUUAAUCAAUAUUUGUAUCUCAACCGUCCAUCUCCCCUCUUCCUCCCCCCUCCCAUCUCUCUCCUCUGUCACUUUUCCCCCUUUUCUGUCAUUUGGGUGAAUAUCCCAAAUCUAAAAUCUCAAAUUCUAAUACAAAUUUAAAGGGGAAUGGGUGAAUUGAUUUGACGGGGUGAAGUCCAUCAAUAUCGUGAGAAAGGAGCAUGAUGAGUAGAUUUUAUAUUAUAUAUGUUACCCUAAUCUUAGUAUAUUUUGGUUAACAUUUUGGAAGAAUUUUGAUACUUUGAAUUGUAUUUCCAAUAUAGGACUUUCGACUUCUUCUGGAGCAAAACAGAAUCAAAUGGACGAUUUUUUGAGUAAUUCUAGUUGGAGAACGUUCGUGAGUCACUUAUAUUGAUCGUAUCAAAAUCUGGGAUUUUUCCACUAAGCAGUUAUUUUCUGGCGAUAAAAUAAAGGAGCGAUGUGCAGUGCUGGAAAAUGACGUUUUUUGGCUUAAAUUACGUUUUUGUAGCCCAAGAUGACCUCGGAUGGGUUCGUGGCCUUCUGGAGAAGUGUUCAUAAUGUUCCAAACAUUAAAUUCAGCUAUAUUGGGCUGGUUUUGGAGCAGCUUAUGGGUCCAAAAUGUGGCUGUUCAGAUUUUAGGCGAAUUUUCCCAUUUAAUUUAGGAUUAUGUUUCCUAUUUUAUUUAUUGUUACUAUUAGUUUCCUAGAGGAAAAAAGGACCUGUUUUUAGGGUUUGUGUGGUGGUUUAGCAAAUAUAUUGCUUAGCCGUCUACCACAUUUUUCUCUACGCUUUAUUUUAUGCAAUUUUGAAGACAGAGAGAAGUGCUAGGGUUUUGGAGAUUUUCUACUUGAAGGUGUUUUCAAUCAUUUUCUUAAUAAUAUUUUCUAUGAUUUCAAUUAUGAAUAUGCAUAACUAAUUUCCUAUUGCUAGGGCGAAGCCUUGAGCCUUAACAUGAAUACGUGAUUUUUAUUUAAUUGCUUAUGAUUGAUUGCAUGCAUACUUUGAAUUGUUAAUCACCGGGAUAAAAACUAUCUAAUUAUCUUAAUGCAUGAUCACCAUUAUGAUCUUUAGAAAAGUAAUUUGAUGCAAUUUUGGUCGGAAGGUUCCCUGAAAUUGACGCUGGCUUCAUGUGAUUAAUAAUUGUAAUUUCACUUAAGAUGAACACCACGUCUUAAAGGUUGCAUGGUUUUUCAAAGGAUUUUCAUAAAGUAUAAUGAGUCUUUGAUGUUCAGAUUUGAUCUGAAUGUCCGGACAUGUUGCAUGUUAGAUAUACGUUCUAUGUUGGAGGUUCCAAGUAGAAUAUGAAUUAGGAAAAUCUAACCUUCAAAGUGGCAUGUGUAGAUCAUAAGUAAUUGGUAAAAAUUCAUAGGAUUGCUAGGUGAUGGUGGAACCCUAGUGUUUUCUUAAUUUGAUUCUUCCAAAACUGUUUUCUUUUUCCCCCAAUUUUAAUAUUGCAGAUUGUCUUAUUUGUUUUAAUUAAAUUCGUUUUUUAAUUUAAGUAGGCUAUAAAAUCAAUCAUCAUAAUUUCUACUUUACAAUAAUUAAUUGAACUUUGGUUUGUUUCAAAUUAUUUCAUAAUCUCUGUGGAGAACGACCUUGCGAGAUCCGUUUACACUACAACAACCUUGUGAUUCUUGCAAGUAUUAUAGGAAUUUUUAUCUCAUUCACAUGAUUAGUAAAAUCCCUAUCAGAGCACAGGUUGCCUCCAUUCACUCGAAGCAAAGAUGCACAGAUAAGUGAAGAAAAUUUGUACCUAGAAAACUGUUCCAAAUUGUGGGUGGUUGGCAUGGGGUGGUGAGAGGUGGGAGGGAGCAAAUAGCAAGUGAGAGGAAUAAAGGGUCGUCAUUGCUGCUUCAAAUGCUCGAGCAAUUUCCAUUAGAAUAUUAUACAUAAAUAAAAUUACAAUUAGGAGAUAAUUUCUGUGAUUCGAAACGCCAUGGAUGAUUUGGUGGAGGAGGACAAUUUCUUUGAAACUGAAUAAACGCUUCGGGAGGUGAGUUGCAGACGGUUUUUUAUUUGUCUAUUUUUAGUUUAUUUUUAUUUCUUUAUUAAAUUAAUAAAGAGUAAUUAAAUCACAGUUAACCAAGGUUAAGGCAAAGGGACACUUGGCAAGCUUGGAGAUGUGUGGUGAGCAUACACCCAAAAUGGGUGAGCAAAAAUGCACCCCUAGCAAACUUAUUCGGUUCUUUAAUUAUCAUCACAUCAAAUGCCCAGAAAGGUUUUGCCCACAUCAACAUUUUUCUAUUUUUUAAAUUACAUAUAAUUUGUUUAAAGCCAUCUUCACUUCACCUUGUAACUAAUUGCUUACAAUAUAGGAAAUUUUAUUUUCAUGGUCCUAUAAACUCCUACGUUUUAAUGACUCUUUUGAUAUAAAAAUAAUUCAUUAAAGUAAUUUAAACUUUUACAUUGUUAAACGACUCUUUCUAUAAAAAAAAAUAAGGGUAAAGUAUAAAAAACUAUCUCAACUAUUAGUGUCACGAUACUUUCAUAUCUCAUCUUUUAAAAUUGAUAAUGUCAUACUUCAUCUUUAGAAUUUGGUCCAAUAUUAUACCUUCUGUUACUUGGCUGUUUACUUUUCAAUUAAAUGUUGACGUGACUUGAUUCAGAGCCCACUUUCUAUUAGAAAAUCAUUAAAAUAUUAUUAAAAGCUAAAAAAAAUAUUUAAUAAUUUUAAAUAUUAAAAUAAUAAAAAAAGUAAAAAAAAAAAAAAAAAAACAACCCUAAGUUCGCCCCUCCCCUUCCCCAUCUUCAUCUUCAUCUUCAUCUUCAUCUUCAUCUUCUUCACCCCCCCCCCACCCAAAAAAAAUGAAUAAUAAAAAACUCAUAUCCCGUCGGCGGGAAGAUGAGUGCGCGGAGAAGGUGGAGGAUGGGUGUGGAAUAGGAUGUGGAGAAUGGAUGAGUGGUGGAUUUGGGGUUGGGUUUUUUUUUUUGGGGGGGGGGGACGAACUGGGUUCGCUUUGGAUUUUUUCUUUCUUUCCUUUUCUUCUUCUUCUUCUUCUUCCUCUUCUUCUUCUUUUUCUUCCUCCUUCUUCUUUCUGGGUUGUUGGGGGUUGAGCGAACUGGGUUGGGUUGGAAUUUUUUUUUUCCUCUUCUUCUUCUUCCUCCUUCUCCUUCUUCUUCUUCUUCUUCGGGGGAGGGGGGGUUCUUCUUCCUUCUGGAUUGUUGGGGGUUGGGCGAACUGGGUUGGGUUGGAAAUUUUUUUUUUCCUCUUCUUCUUCUUCCUCCUCCUUUUUUUUUCCUCUUCUUCUUCCUCCUUCUCCUUCUUCUUCUUCUUCUUCUUCGGGGGAGGGGGUUCUUCUUCCCCCUUCUUCUUUUUGGGUUGUUGGGGGUUGGGCGAACUGAGUUGGGUUGGAAAUUUUUUUUUUUCCUCUUCUUCUUCUUCCUCCUUUUUUUUUCCUCUUCUUCUUCCUCCUUCUCCUUCUUCUUCUUCUUCGAGGGAGGGGGGUUGAUGCGUUUUCAAAUUUAUUUAUUUUUGGUUGAAGAUUAAGCAGGGAAGAAGAUGAAGAUGGGAAGAGAAAGGGGGAAGGGACGAACAGAGGGAUUUUUAUUUAUUUUUUUACUUUUCUUUAUUAUUAAAAAAAUAUUAAAUAAUAAUUUUUUUAUUAAAAAUGAGCCCCGAAUCAAGUCACGUCAGCAUUUAACUGAAAAAGUAAACGGCCAAGUAACGGAAGAUAUAAUAUUAGACCAAAUUCUAAAGAUGAGGUAUGAAAGUGUCGUGACACCAAUAGUUGAGGUAAUUUUUUGUACUUUACCAAAAAAAAUAAAUAAUUAAAGUAACUUCUCAUUAUACCAUCUUCAAUGGUGGGCUAAAUACUAAAUUACCCCCCAAUUCCCCGCGUCGUGACACCAAUAAUUGAGGUAGUUUUUUGUACUUUACCAAAAAAAAAAAUAAUUAAAGUAACUUCUCAUUAUACCAUCUUCAAUGGUGGGCUAAAUACUAAAUUACCCCCCAAUUCCCCGCCCCCCCCCCACCAAACAAUCUCCAACCCAUGAUAAAACAUUGGGCUAAAUGCCAAAUGUUAAAGCUGGGCCAAAUACCCCCCAAAAUUCCCUCCCCAUGCGACUGGAUUCGCUAGCAAUUGGGCCAGUCUCAGCCCGGUCACGCUCCAACGCAUCCCACGCGGUGCGCUUGCAAACCUUUCCCAACAGGGGUGUGCCCCUCUGUCAGUCGUUCGUCUGCUACCCAAAAAUCCCAACAGCUAUAAUUUGAAUCCAAGGGCUUGGUUUAAUGGAUCGUUGGUUGAUCCAACAGUCCAGAUUCAAAUUUAAUUUUUUUAAAUAUGUUAUUUUAAAAUACAUUGAAUCCAAUGACUGAGUUCGAACAUCCACACAACUCAAUUUUCUCCUACUAUUAUCCAAUUUAUCUUUUUACCUUUUCUUUCCAUUUCCAAAUUGUUCAACAUGACAAGAGAGCAUAUUAGAGGUCGUAAUUGGACCUAUGAGGAAGAUGUUGCUUUAUGUUUGGCAUGAUUUUCUAUUAGCGAAGAUGGUGGAGUUAGCACAAAUCAAAAUAAGAAGGUUUUGUGGGAUAAAAUCAUUGCAAAGUUUUAAGAAAACUGCAAUGGCGGCGGGCAUGAUGGUGGUGGUGUUUAUGAUUGGUGGAAGACUAUCAACAAAGCAUGUACUUUAUGGAAUAUAAGUUUUGAGAGAGCCGUGGUGGGCAUGGCUAGUGGAAGAAGGGCCACAGAGAUUGUGAGUUUUGUUCUUAAUAUUUUAUUUGUCAUGUACAUAAUAUUAUUUUCCAACUAAGUAUUUUUAUGUAUUUUUUGCAUAAGGUGCCAAAGCAAUGAAAAUUUAUGAGGCCAUCUCUAACCGAAGGGUCCAGAGGGCCAGAUGGCCGUAAAUAGCCCUAAAACUGUCUCCAACUGAGGGCUAGGCUAGAGGGCUCUGGAAUCUGGGAGGGCCCCACGGGAUCAGAGAGGGCUGGCUAUUUUUUUUAAUGUUUUCCUAUUGCUGUCGGUUAUAACCGACAGCAUUAAAGAAGAAUUUUUUAAUACUGUCAGUUAUAACCGACAGUAAUAAUUAUUCAAAGCAAAAUUUUUCUUUUUAAUUACUAUUAGUGUCGGUUAUAACCGACACUAAUUGUUUGAAUUUUUUUUAAUAUAACGACUAGUAGCCGUUGUAUUAACUUUUUUUUUUUAUGAAUUUAAACUUCUUUUUUUUCCCUUUUUUUUCCUUUUCAUAUGAAUCAAAUUUUGUUUCAUAUUUUUUUUCAAUUCUAUUUUACAAAAUUUGUUUCAAUUUUUUUUUAAAUUCUAUUUUUUUCCUAUAACUUCUAUUUUACAAAAUUUGAUUCAUAUUUUUUUUCAUAUAACUUCUAUUUUACAAAAUUUGUUUCAUAUUUUUUUAAAUUCCAUUUUUUUCCUAUAACUUCUAUUUCACAAAAAAAAAUUCAUAUUUUUUUUCAAUUCUAUUUUUUUCCUAUAACUUCCUAGGCCAUUUAUACAACAUUAAAUUAAAUUAAGUAACAUGAAACAACAUUAAAUAACAUUAACCAACAUUAAACAAUUGUAAUUUUUAAAUAAUAAAUUAUGUUUGGCCCUAUGGCCCUUUGACCCUCGGUUGGAGACGAUUUUUGGUGACAGGGCUAAAACGAGCCAUCUGGCCCUUUAGCUCUCGGUUGGAGACGGAGGCCAAUAUGGCCCUGUACUGUUCAUUAAAAUAUUAAUAUCUUGGGAAAUCUUGGAGGGCCAGAGGGCUAAAACGAGCCCUCUGACCAGCGUUCGGUUAGAGAUGGCCUAAGACAAGAGCAACACCAGAAAAUCAAGUUUUAAGUUGCAACAUGCUUAGAACGUCCUCAAGGAUUGUCCGAGGUGGGGAACCGAUGCGGACCAAUAAUGGGAAAGAUUAUUUCAACGUGAAGCCGCACAGACAAAUGCCAGAGAUGAAGGUGUCGAUGAAAUGACCCUAUCUCCUUCUUUUGCAAGGCCCCCAGGAAGAGAUAAGCAAAAGGAAGCAAAGAGAAAAGGGAAGUCCCAAGAUCCGAUGAGUGGACACUUUGGUACUAGAAUUGCAAAAUUGAACGAAACUCAUAGCGCUCGCUAAGAAGAAACGGCCCGAAUGCGUUUGCAAAUGAAGGAAAUCUCAGAUCGGGAGCAAGAUAGGUUUGAAAUUGAAUUCAUGAUGGAGGAACUCAACAAAUACACUUUAAAGAGGAAGAAGUUCUUACGUGGUAAGCAAAAGGAAAUUUUGCAAAAGUCUGUCUCAAGGAGUAUGUUUCAAGAUGAUGAAUCCUCUGAAUCCUAUAUCCCAAGAUUUCAACAAAGUCCAUCACCAAGUGAAGAUGGUGGAUAUGAUUAUUAAGUUUAUGUAGUGUAUGAACUAUGUGCUUUAUUAAUUGAGUUUAUUAAUUGUCGAUUGUAUUAAGUUUAUGUGGUUUAUGAAUUAUCGAUUGUAUUAAGUUUAUGUGGUUUAUGUAUUAUCAGUUGUAUUGUUUCUAUUAAUUUAGAUGUCUUCAAUAAUUAUUGUACUUAUUAUUCCACACUUUGAUGUAGAAUAGAUGUCUUCAAUAAUUCAACGUACUAGACAAAAUACUUUGCACAAGAAGACACUUAAAUUUAUUACUAGAAAAUAACAACAUAGUACACUUAAAAUUAAUCUAGAUGCCUUCAAUAAUUAUUGUACUUAUUAUUCCACACUCUUCUAUAUCACGCUACACAUAUGAACGCUCCGUGACAGAACCACGAUGGUUAGAUUCACUAUGUGGUCAGAUUGCAUAAAUGAGUUGACAAGUUCAACUUUGGCGUUGAACAAUUAUGCAUCCUCAAUCUCGAUCCUUGCUUGGUAUUGUGUCAUCUGCAUUGUCAUGCUACAUAUUCUUUUAUCACCAAUUGAUGAGAUAUUGAGGAUUUUUAGGUAAUAAAAACUCUUUGAAAGUUGAAAGAUUAGUGAAUAUAGAGGAUGAUUGAAGGUUAAAAGGUUGUGUGAUCAACAAAUAGUGGUCAUAUGUUUAUAUAGAGGAUGAUUGAUGAAAGUUGAACAGUUGGUGAAAGUUGAAAGUUUGGUGUUGAACGAUUGGUGAAAGUUGAAAGUUUGGUGUUGAAGGGUUGGUGAAUUGAAAAUUUGGUAUUGAACGGUUGAUGAAUUGAAAGUUAGCACAUGGUUGAAAGAUUGAUGAAAGUUGAAGGCUUGCUUUGUGAAAAAUUUAGUGAUUUUUCAAUAUUUAUUGGAAUUUAAAUUUUUUUAGAUUAAAAUGUUCAUAAAAUUAAUUUACGAUAGUCUACAUAUUUAUUUAAAAAAAUUAAUUUAAGAAAAAUAAUCGCCUAAAUUUAUUCUUUAAUAAUCCCAGGCUAAAAUUUUAGGACAGAACAGUUGGAGCAGAAAAACUGUUUCUGAGCUAAAAUAUUUGGCUUUUAGCCCAACCAUUAGAGAUGGUCUUAUUAGGACAAAAAGUAUUAAAACUUAUGUUUUGAAAACAAAUGUACCAAAAAUUCAAGAAAAUUUUAACAAAAAACUCCCGGUACUGUUUACUUUAACUAAAAACCACAUUUUUGCACUAAAGAAUCAAUUCUGGUACUAUUCACUUUAUCUUUUAUUUUGUCCUUAUCGUUAAAACUCAAAGUUUUUAAGCCAAUUUCAUUAAUUUUCCUAAAAUUCAAAUGUACCAAGAAGCCAAAUGAACCAAAAAUUCAAAUGUAGCAAGUAACAACAUGUACCAUUAUAAUUAAAUGUACCAAUAUAACCAAACGUACCUAUCAACGAGUUUUGUUACAUUCUAUUUAAUUUACUAAAAUAACUAUUUUAAUAAAAAAUAAAAAAAUCUUAAAUCAUCAUAAUUAGAGAUACAUAAAAAUUGGAAGAAAAAAGAAAAUGCUAUCGUGAAUAGACUUUUAAUGAAAUAAAAUUAAGGGUAAAGUACAAAAAACUACCUCAACUAUUGGUGUUACGACACUUUCAUAUCUCAUCUUUUAAAAUUGACAAUAUCAUACCUCAUCUUACGAAUUUGUGUCAAUGGUAUAUCUUUCGUUAGGGUUGGCAUGAAUUUCUCAAUUAAAUGCUGAUGUGGCUUAAUCCAAGACCAAUUUUCUAUUAAAAAUUAUUAAAAAUUAAAAAAAAAUAAUAUUUUUUAAAUAUUAAAAAAAAAAAAACCAACACUCAGUUCAGUUCGUCCCCUCCCCCCUUCUCUCUCUUCUCCCCAUCAUCAUCUUCUUCCCCCUUCCUGCAACUGCAACCCAGAAAAAAAGAAGAGAAAAAAAAAAACCAAUUUGUCUUCCCCCCUCCCCACCCCCUCUUCACCCCGCACCCCCGCACCCCCGCACCCACUCUCCGCACCCAACCUCCCCACCUUUGCACCCAACCUCACACCCACUACCAGCAACCCAAAAAAAAAAAAACCCCAAAUCCUGUUGAGGUGGAAUUAGGAAACCUUCGCCAAGACGAUUUCGAAGGUUGAGACCCUAAGCGCGGAGAAAAUAGGGGGAAUGGGUGUGGAGGGAAAAGGGUGGGUGUCGCGGGGGGGGGGGACGGACGAACUGGGUUUCCUUUUUAUUUUUUAUUUAUUCUCUCUCUUCUUCUUCUUCUUCUUUCUGGGUUUGUUCGGGGGGAGGGGAUUGGGUUGGGUUGGGUUUUUUUUUUUUUUUUUUUUUGUCUUCUUCUGCUUCUUCUUCCUCAUUUUUUCUGGGUUGCAAGGGGUUGGGUUUGUGGUGGUGGGAGAGGGGACGAACUGGGUUUGGUUUGGGGUUUUGUUUUUCCUUCUUCUUCUUCUUCUUCUUCUUUCUGGGUUUGUUGUUGAGGGGAGGGGGAAUUGGGUUGGGUUUUUUUUUUUUUUUUUCCUUCCUCCUUUUUUUUUUUUUUUUGUCAAUCCUUUUGCUUGGGUUGCAGGAAGAUGGGGAGAGAGAGAGAGGGGGAAAGAUGAACUGACCUGAGGUUUUUUUUUUCCCCUUUAUUAUUUUAAUAUUUAAAAAAAUAUUAAAUAAUUUUUUUUUAGUUUGUAAUAAUUUUUUAAUAGAAAAUGAAACCGAAUCAAGCCACAUUAGCAUUUAAUUAAAAAAUUUACGAUCAAGUAAUAGAAUGUAUAACAUUAGCACAAAUUCGUAAGAUGAUGUAUGACAUUAUCAAUUUUAAAAGAUGAGUCAUGAAAGUUAAUGGUAAUUUUUUGUAGUUUACCUAAAAUUACGUACCAAAAAUUGUAGGAAAAAUGUUUAAUCAAAUUUGCAUAAUAGACGUUCAGUAACAUUUAAAAAGUUUUGCCCAACUCAAUAAACACGAGUCAACAACUUUCAAGAAUCUGUAUAAUGUGUUCGUCCCUUAGAGCAAAUCCACCCCAAAACCAACUCCCCAGCACCCAGCCAAAAAAAUAGGCCAGGCCCCUGUUUUUUUGCUCCAGCUCGUUACAUUGCCUGGCACCCAGCCCAUGCCAGGCAACAGCCCAGCACAUUUUGGACUGACCCAGAAGCCGGCCUGUUUCUCAGGCGCGUGCAACACAAGCGCGCAAGGCGCGAGUGGGUUUCAGGGAAACCUGAAAAGGUGUCAGCCCACUUGGGCUCAGUGACGUGGCUUCACGAUAGCCGUUGGAUUUCCAACGGCUAGUUUUUCUAGACCGUUGGAUUUCCAACAAUAAAAAAAAUUUAAAUUUUACUUUUAAACUGGACCGUUCGAUCAAAGAUCAACGGUCCAGAUUAAUUAACUUAAUUAAAAUUUAUUAAAAAAUACAGAAAAUUAAAAAAAAAAUUAUUUUUUUCUUUCUAUAGUUUAUUUGAUGAGUUUAUGUAAUUUUAUUUUAGUGUGUUUUUUUUUUAAGUUUAUUUGAUGAGUAUGUAAUUUUAUUUCAGUGUGUUUUUUUUUUAAGUUUAUUUGAAAUUUUAUCCAAAAUUGGUUAAAAAUCAUAUCCGAAAUAAACUUAAAAAAAAAAAAAACAUACCAAAUAAAUGCGCUGGGUGCCAGCGCAUUUUUUUAGGGGUGGAGAUGCUUUGGUCUGUUACUGUUCACUAGGGUCUAUUACUGUUCACUUGAGUGGAUAAAUGCGCUGGGUGCUGGCACAAAGUCCUUAGGGGUGGACUUGCUCUUGUAAAAACAUAUCACUUGAGGUGAUUAAUUAUACGAACAUAAUCAACUUCUAGAAACUUAAAAUUACAUGAUUAACCAAAAUCAUACUUAGGAAUCUAAGCAAAGAAUCAGAAGAAAUAUGAGAAAAAAGGAAUGGGGAACUUACAAGAUCUUUGAAAAUGAUAAAAGCGAUUACGAAGACAACAAAAGAAGAUUUCGAUCUCGGCGAAUGGAACGAACCGAAAGACCGACUUGACACCCUGAGUCAAUGCGGAUGCAUUUGAAACUCGCUUCGCCACGGCUGCGCGGUCGGGUUGGGCUUUGGAGUCGGAUUUAAUACCAUCGGAAUUAGAUCGGCGAUCAUCCGAUGAGCGAUGGUGGUCAGGUGGUGGUGUGAUUGGUGUCACGGAUGGGUGGAGCCGCGGAGAGCGGGAGGCGGAGGUGGAGGCAGGCAGGUCUGUGUGGACAGUUGGAUCUGGGUGUGGGUGGACGAUGCGGCCUUAGCCUGUAGUCUGGUCGCGAAGAACUUAUGAAGACGAAGAGAAAGGCUUGGAGCUUGGAAGACGGAGAGACCGAAGCGUCGAUGGUGAAGAUUCGAAGACGCAGGAGGGUGAAAAUUUGGUGCCCUCAGCAAUUUUGGGCCCAGGACAGGAGCCCUGUUAGCACUGGGCCAGGGCCAGGCCUGCUCCAAAGUGAAAAAAUGAUGCGAUGCUCUAAUGGCUCUAAUUCAAUGGUUUCUCAUGCUUCUCAGCCUCCCGUGCACUUUGAUUGUUGAUGUUACUCACUCUACUCCUAACGGCAAUGCCCGAAGGGCAUGCAAAAAUCUCUUUUCACUUGGAACAACGCAACAAGCCAAAGCGCGAGAUUUCCCCUACCACAUCGGAUGUUCAUGUAAACAUGCUACAAAUCCUAGUUUGC
rnacentral:lncRNA from 1 species